rnacentral:lncRNA from 1 species
CCCCUCUUAGUUAGGGGGUGAUUCGAAACUAUGUUCAUACUUGCAAUAUGAUUUGAUUAUAUCCAGUUGUGAUUCAUAAGUUGUGAAUUCAAUUUACUUAUCCGUUCAUAUAAAAACUAAUUUGUAUAUGUUGGUUAAGAGUGCACGCUUAAUUUUCAUGCAUGAAUUUGACGCUAGAAUAUAAGGGAGUUUCACCUAAUCGUUAUAAACUUAUAUUCACAAGUAGUGAAGGUUGCUAGUCACAAUCACGUUAAGUAAACUCUUGGCAUAAGUUUCAUGCAAAUCAUAGUAACGAGUGCCUCGUCAAUGCUUAUGUUUUUCAUAGAACUUAAUGAUUCUUGCUUGUAUCUCUAUUAUGCAAUUCAUGUAGGGAACUUGUAGGGAAUGUUUUGGGUUGUCGUAUGCAAUCAUCCAACCUAAUAACUUGUGGAAAAACUGAGGGUUAAUUAGUGCAAUUCACGGUUAAUUUGGGCCGUUGAGUAUUCAUAGCUUAUCGAAAAGCAACUGGAAAUCGUUUUGUAUGCAAGUGUGACAUAUGUGGAGAAGAACCUCCUAGCUAAUCUUCCAUCCAUAAGUUUCAUUCAAAUUCACUUACAAUCUGUUUUGUUUUACAAAGUUUGUUUUGUUUUCAUAUUCAUUAAAACCAAAGUCCCCCUUUUACUUUAUUGUUUCAAAGUGUUUAAUUUCUGUUUUGGUUGUGUGUUAGAGUGUUUUGAUUCACCCAAAUUUGUCUAAGAAUUUGUUUACUUUGUUCUUGUCUUAAUUUAAUUAUUUUCGUCGAAAAUCAACCCCAUCUUAUUUCUUUGAGUCAUAUUAAUUAGAACUUAUCUUAGAUUAUGUUUUUAAGUGUUUUAGUUCAUUAGAAAACCAAAAUUUGUCCAAGUUUGUGUGAGAGUCCCAAAAUUGCCCAGAUUGUAUUUUUAAGGUAGUUUUGAGUGUUUAGGGGCUGUUUUGAGUCUUUUGGUUUGUUUUAGUGUUUUAAAGUAUAGUUUUGCAUUCUUUGAGUCUAGUUAGUGUUUUAAACUUUGUUUUCACGUUUUCAAGUCAGUUUCCAAGUGAUUUAGCAAUCCCUCCUAAUCCCCGACCUAGAACGAUCCCUACUUACAUACUUUACUACAAUUGAUAAAAAGAGGGUUUAAUUUGUGUGUUAACUUAUUUUUCACAUCAUUAAGCAUCGUUAUAUUCUAAACAGUUAACACUACCAUAUCAUCUCUACUAUAGAGAUAAUCAAUUAGAUUACAGUAAUCUAAUCAUUCAUUAAUAAAGAACAAUGUUUUGUCAAACAAAACAUUCGUCCAUCUCUCAUAGUGACGGAAUUAAGUUCCUCAAAAUUGGAAUGUAAAGACAAUCUUUGGUUUUUCCAAUUUCUUUGGUAGUUCAUAUGAGGAAGUAAGUACGAUCUGCUUUCGCAGAGAUCUACAUUUGAUUCACGUUCCGAAUGUGAAGUACUUUCUCUUCUCAUUAAUCUUCUACUUCUUAUUAGCCACACUUUUACAACGAUUGUAAAACAUAGUUACUAAUACGGAAUCAAGCAUUCAAGUAGAAGAACCAAUUGUUUUGAACUUUUCAAGAACAAUUUACAACAUCUUCGAAAGGUGUGUUCUUGACACUUGCAAGACAUUUCUUGCAAAUACCCCUUCCAAUGUCCAUCAUUUCAUAAAGAAAGUUCGUUCCCUUGGAGUUAUUUCCCUUUCUUCAUUUGACUUCUCCUUUGAUUACAAUAGUCAUGGUCCCUAAACUCCCACUGUCUCUUGAAACUUAUUUCAAUUGUGUUAUACACAUCAAACGAUUUGGAGAGCGUGUGGUUAUUGUUCACUAUAUAGUUUACAAUAAACUUAGUGAACCAUUUGGAUAGGGACACAAAGGUGAAGUCCUUGCCUAGUUUCCGUCUCGUGAAGUGGUUUAACACUUCAACACUCAAUGAUUCAAAAUCAUCAUAAGUCCAUGUUGAUGGACUAUUUUUGUCAACCAACCAUUAUGUUCUAAACAUAAUUACAAACUUUCAAGAGUUGUUCAAGGCAACUCUCAUUUUUUCAUACAACAAUUUGUAAGUGAAGAAUCAUGGCACAUAAAGUGUCCAUGUCAUUGUGUUUUCUUCUCAAGUUCUUUGUUUAUUUAACAAAGAAACAAGCACUAGUGUUUGCAUUAACUAAGGGUUGUUCAAAGAAACUCUUAUUUCUUCACACAACGAUUUGUAAGUGAAGAACUAUGACAUAAAAGUGUCAUUGUCUUUAUGCUAAUCUUCGUAAGUUCCUUUGUUCAUAUAACGAAGGAAUAAGCAUUGGUUGUUUGUGUUGUCCUGUUUAUGAUAGACUUAUCUAACAUGUUCUUCCAAUGAUACAUUACCAAUAGGAGGAUUUUGAGGAUGAGAUUAUUUAGGUACAUAUACAAUCCAUUUAAGACAAUCUUUGGGAUUGUGGUACCAAGUCCGGAAACUAAAGCAUUCGGCUUUUCUUUGUCAAGUUUUGGAUAGCGUUUGCAAAUAUAUUGGUAAAUAAAUACAUAACAAAUAUAAAUUGAUUGAUUUUAAGCCACUUGAUCCGAGUCUUUAAAUCAAAUAGCACCACCCACUAUUUUUGGCAAAUUCCAUAUCCCUCAUCGGAAUUUGAGAGUUUUGGAGGAAACUCUUAGUAGGGUAUGGGAGACUCAUCAUUACGAAGCCCACCUCACAAUGAUAUGAUGUUGGCUAGCAUCAAUAAUAAUGAGAGAGUACGCUUACUCAUUUGCAUCUCUUGCAAGUACCCAUCUUAUUUGGCCUCUAAAGAAUGAAGCUUCACAAUGAUAUGAUGUUGGCUCCAUUGCACUUAGUUAGUCAUUCCCACCAUGCAAGUUCGAGUAGGGGUUCAAGAACAACCUCACAAUGAUAUGAUGUUGGCUAUUCUCGUUGCCUACCUUCACAACAUCAUGUAUGCAUAUAGAACUCCUCCUGAGUGUAAGCACACACUUUGUACUCCCCCAUGAUAGGGUGAAGUCGUUGUACGAGUCACAAACGAUCGGAGCCUACCACGGUGGAAGGCCACGAAAGAGUGUUCAAAGCACUCUCACGCUUAUCAACUUAAUAAUGGUUUGGUUAAGGGUUUUAGGUCUCAUAUUUUCUAAACAUACAUUUUAAUCUUAUUAAAACAAUUUGGUCCUAUUACAACUAUUGGUCCAUGUGAUUGAUUUACUAGUAUAUAGUACUCCCACUAAGCUUGUAAAACGGUUUUUAAAGCAAGAGUAUAUGGUACUACUAACAUAAGGUUUGCAUUCAUUGAUGGACUAUAUAGUUGGCUUAGGGCCUUAAGAUGACUAUGAACCUUUGAUUAGAUCCAACACGAGCCUAGUGUUGAAUCUUGGUCUAGGGAUGGUGAUUGAUUUUAGUUACGCGUUUAAUCAUAUUAAGGCGUGUUUUUCCUAUUGGGCGUUUGGACCCAACUACUCCAAUUUCAUGCAUAUCAAAUAAAACAAGAAAAUGAGUACUUCAAAGUAAAAAAGAGCUUAUGCUCUUUUACAACAUUUGAUCAAAACAAAUUACUUUAAAGUAAAGAAGAGCUUAUGCUCUUUUACAACAUUUGAUCAUAUCAAACUACAACCAAAAUCUAAUCUACACAUUCCCAUGGUUCAAACAAAUUUGAGACGGCCUUUCACAUAGCUCAAUUAUCAUAGGCUUAGGUUCAUAAUCAUCCUUUAAUUAAUUAACGUUUUAACUAAUUAAACUUGAAUGCAACAUUGUCAUUUGGUUUUUGUAUCCAUAGAAUUGAUUUAAAUGGAGCUAAAUGAAAUGAAAAUCCAAUUCUCAUUUAAAGAGACAAAACCAUUUUGUUCUCAACCUAAUUUGGGCCGAAAAGCAAUAACCUCAACUUUUUGGGCUAUAUUGCAAAACAUAAACUUUUGAGGUCACUUUGUAAAAACACAAAAGUCCACUACUUCAUGUAAUUACAACUAGAACCCAAAAAUUUCAACAAAUUCAAAAAACUUCAUUAAAGGAACAAAACAAUUUGUCCUUCAGUGAUUUUGGGCCUUUACGUAAAAACGUAAACUUUUGGGUCAAACUACAAAUACACAAAAGUAUCAAAACUUUAUGUAAUUGCAUAAAAGCCCCAAAAGUACCCUACUUGUAGGGUGGCCGGUUUUGGAGUAAUGUGAGUGAUGGUGUGUGAGUUGAUUUUUGAUGAAAAGCAAAGUCAUAAAGUCAUGCAAGUUGAACAAGUGAGUGAUGGGUUGGUGUGUAAGAAAAGUACCAUUCAUGUACAAUAUUCAAACACAUUUUCAAAUUUCAAUCACUUUUCAAAUUUUGAAAAAAUCACACCAACCAAUACAAAACAAAGACUUUAUGAAAUCAACCAAAAACUUUGAAUCAAAACACCAAACUUUUUGUUUUGGUAAGAACAUCAAGAACAAUGAAGAACAUUCAUGAAAACCCAUAAGAGUUUCAUGAACAUUUUCACUCAAUAAAACUCAAAUUUUCACUACUCAAAAUGGGGUUAACAUCCUAGGGUACUUAGGGGUUCCAAAAGUCACCUUAAAAAACUUUUAACAAGACAAACAUGAACCCAAAAAAUCACCCUUUGGAUUUGGCCGAAUUUCCCAAAAACAUGGCACCAACUUUUAGCUCUAAAAUUCAUGCUCAUAUGAACUACAUCUACAACGUUUGAGAUGACAAAUUUUCUAACAAAAUUUACAUUCAAAGAAGCAAGAAUAAAACUUGUAACAAUUACAACAUUCAAAUCAAAGACUAUGAACUACAAAACCCAAAAGGAUUUAUCAACUACUAGACCUAGGCUCUUGAUACUACUUGAAGGAAAUUUUGUGAAAAACAUGUUCAUUUGAGCAACAUCUAUUGCAUGCAAUUAACAUUUAAAGGCGGAAUCAUGCUAGUAUGCACUAAAAAACAAAACAAUACCCAUGAAAUUCAAAGCCUAGUAGAAAGGUGAACCAAGACUCAACUCAAGAACAAAGUGAGUUGAGAUAUUUUAUACCUUUGUUGAUUCCUCUUUGCAUAAGCAAAGGCUAAUCACCCAAGGAGAGGGCCUUCAUUCCUUGCUUCUUAGUUCCAUCGAUUUCUUGGAGGAGGAUGCUACAAAGGAUUCUCCAAGUUCCCAAAAGGAGAACCUCUAAUUUUUCCACACCAAGGAGAGACUUGAAGAAGAGAGGAGUGACCUUGGAGGAUGAGAGAUUGCUAGCUAAUCUCCUCCAAGGGGGCCGGCCUCUUAAAGAGAAGGGGAGAGACAUUUUCUCUCCAAUUUUCUCCAAAAGAAACCCUAAUGAAGAAAAAGCUAUAAAGUCAUAUUUAUACCUACCUUCAUUGGAGUGGCAAACUUGUAAUAAGUCCAAAACCCACUCUUUUAUCAAUAUGGUCGGCCAUAGGGUGUUAUUGGGCUGUUUGGGCCUUUGUGAAUAAUUAGUCAUUAAGUUGUCAUACAACUUAAGUCAAUGGGCUUGACGUUCGAAGCCCAUUGGGCCUUGAGGCCCAAAAACUAACCCGAGGUCUUUAACGAACUUUAUUCGUUUGAUUAAUUAACAUAUUAAUUAAUCAUUGCCAUAAAUAAUUAAACCAUUUAAUUAUCCUUACUCAUCUCCGUUGUUUCUUCAAUCUCUACCUUACACGGUGUACGAUCCAUUAGGUUCCUUUUAGUGAGGCAGUGGGCGAUUAGAACUCUUUCAAAUCGAUUGUGAAUUGAAACUUACUUUCAAUUCGAUUGUGAAUUGAAACUUACUUUCAAUUCUCCCUUUAGUAAUUAUACACGUUUAGGGCUUCCACAAACCAUGAGUGACACCUAGCAGUAUGUCAUGGUUACCCAAGCUAAUCAGAAGAGAUGGAGAACCUAUACAGUUUAGGAUUACAAUGCAAUACGGUCUUUCUCUAAUACAAUACUAUUGACCACAUUGUUUGGUUUGAUAGUUUAUUCAUGUCUACUAUCCAAUGUGAUUCUUUUACUUACAUGAUUACCUUGAAUGUGAUUUGGAACGAUUUCCUAAAUCUCAUUCAUACUCUGGCCAGAGAUUCUUAAUCAUAUCAUAGAGUAUUCUCCGUCAAACAAUUUGAAGGUUAGAGAUCCCUUGUUUCACAUUCACUUGCCUCCAUGGUUAAGUGGCUUAACCCCAACUAUGCCGUGGACACCCUCUGAUGGAGUGACUUUGACAUAGUCAAAGAUCAAGGACCUAACCACAAGACAACUAUGAUGCCUCAGGUCAAAUGACUACUUUGCAUUAUCCCAACCAUGAGUUCUCAUGUGACAUGAGUAUAAGAACUCCUCGUUGAUCGUGUUCAGUGAACUCAUUCGCUAUUGAGCACCUACAUGCUUGUCUUGGUGUCCAUCACACCAAUGACUCGAGACCAGUCACUCUCACUGAGAGAAGACACAGUAUGUACUGAUCUUAACGGACUGUCAAUGCCCAAUUGGCAAUCCUAUGAUCAGGAACGUUUAUGAUAUGUAUACGAAAGAGAAUGGUCUCAUGAAUCUAACUUGUUUAAAUUACAUUCUCCUAAUUACAUAUUCCUUGGACUUAUCGUUUAAGCAUAACAUUUAUAUGAGACGGCUUAAAACAAUAAUCUUUGCCCUUGAUAUUAAACUGGAUUAGUUUAACAUGUGAAAUGUCCGUAAAGUAUCAUCAUAUGAUUGGUUUUAGGGCACAUUUCCAACACAAGCAAGACUAAAAAGGACUAGGAAGACUACCUCGUUGGGUUGACCCACCAAACGAUUCGCUCCACCCUUGAUGACGAGUUCAGUCCGGCGUCGGCAACAAUUGGGUGAAAGGACACUAUACCGAAUAACAUCAUGAGCCAUGAGCUCUCCUUUGCUAGAGCACAUGGGUGACCCUGCAAAAGUGAAAAUAAAGGGAGUAGACAAAGAAUUAUUCGACAAAAAGGAACAGAAAAGCAAAAAAAAAAAAAAAGAAAAAGGAAAAAGAGAAGUGAGAAUGGAUGGGCACGACCAGGCUGUCCAAGAAAGCAAGUGGGUGGUAUCAAGGCUGUCAUGUUACGUUUUACAGAAGAACAUGUAGGAAAUGGAAAAGAAGAAACAAAACAAAAGCAAAGCAGAAAGCAAAAGAGAAAGCAAAAGCAAAGAAUGAUGUGAUUUGCUUUUAUUGUUUUUAUGAUGUAAUUUAUUUUUAUCUUUCGGAGACAUCUGUAUAAACCCCAUCAGAGGGUAAUAUGUACAAACCCCAUAAGAGGGUAAAAAAAAAAGCCCUAAAUAGUGGGCUGCAAUGUCAUGUGGAGGGCGAAAGUCUAUAUGCCCAAAAGAGCUAGACCCUUUAUUAUCACCAACCAGGUGACCAAAAGUACGCCCAGUACUCCACAAUUAUUCGGCAAUCUGCUGCUAUUACCACCAACCAGGUGAUGAAAUGUACAACCCGUACUCUAAUAUCAUUUGGCAACUAGCCGUUCAUGCCACCAACCCAGUGAUGAAAUGUACAACCCGUACUCUCCUUCAUGCCACCAACCAGGUGAUCAAAAGUACGCCCAAUACUCCAAAUUAUACAUGAGCAUUACUCAUGUCAUUCAUACAUAAACAUUUAUAAGCAUCACUCAUGACAAUCAUACAUAAACAUUCAUGACCAUCAUUCAUAUCAACAUUUAUGAGCAUCACUCAUGUUAACAUUCAUAAGCAUCACUCAUGACAACAUUCAUGAACAUCACUCAUGUCAAUCAACAUAAACAUUCAUGAGCAUCACUCAUGUCAAUCAGCUUCAAAAGCGUCAUUUACAGAGCUCUAGCUUUAAAAGCUUCAUUUACAGAGCUUUAGCUUCAAAAGCUUCAUUUACAAAAGCUCCAACUUCGAAAGCUUCAUUUACAUAGCUCUAGCUUCAAAGCUUCACUUGCAAAGCUUCACUUACAAAGCUUCAGUGCAUGGUAUACAAAUACCGCAUUCGAACAAUCACCACUUCGGCCCAGACAUGGAUUCAAUUUGAAGUCUCCAGCCAACAUACUCUAUUGACCGAAGACUUGGGGGACUGCAUUAUGUACCAUCUAUUGGGCCUUAACUGGGCCUCAUGAAAAAUACUUGGGGGACUUAGCCCAUCACUUAUGUAUUGAGGAGCGAGCCCUUAUUUUUUAAAAGGGAUUCCCUCACCGUCAUUAUAGAGCAUCAACUCUAGCACAUUAUUCAUGUAUUGAGGAGCGAGCCCUUAUUUUAUAAAAGGGACUCCCUCACCACCAUUAGAGAGCAUCGUCGUUUACUAAGCAACCGCCUCGCCGCGAGCAUCAAGUCUAGCCUAUCAUUUAUGUAUUGAGAAACGAGCCCUUAUUCUAUAAAAGGGACUCCCUCACCAUCAUUAGAGAGCAUCAACUCUAGCCCAUCAUUCAUGUAUUGAGGAGCAAGCCCUUAUUCUAUAAAAGGGACUCCCUCACCUUCAAAUGCUGCAAACCGAGCCAACUAAGGCAACAUAAGCCACGAGCCGAGCAGCCUCGCAGCGUGUGCUACUUCUAGUUGAGCGUCGUGUCAGAUUGAGCACUGCCUCAUAUCGAGCAUUAGUUCAAGACAACAUCUAGUUACUUCGGCCCACACAUGGACUGAAUUUCAAGUCUCUAGCCAAAAGACUCUCUUGACUGAAGACUUGGGGGACUACUAUUUAUACCAUAUUUAGGGCCUCGUAUUUAGACCUCGUAUAAAUACUCGGAUGACUUAAAUGUAAUUAUGUAAUAAAGGAGAGGCAAAUAUGUAAUUAGGGGAUGAGCCCUUAUUCUAUAAAAGGGCCUCCUUACCCUCAUAAACCCUAAGUUUCUCAUAUCUAGAGCAAAGCUCUCAGAGCUCUCUCCCUCACAAAUACUCUCAAAUAAAUACAUAAUCAGUGUGGACGUAACCCAAACCUUGGGGUGAACCACGAUACAUCUUGUGUCAUUUACAUUACUUGCAGAUUCACGGUCGGAUUUACGUUGUUCUAAGACCUCCGGUUUUGUGCAUCAACAAACAUCAUGAUACUCCUGCCAGGAAUUUACUUAACACGAUUGUGACUAGCAACCUCCAUUACUUAUGAAUAUAAGUUCAUAACAAUUAGGUGAAACUCCCUUAUAUUCUAGCAUCAAAUUCAUGCAUGCAAACUAAGUAUGCAUCCUUAAUCAACAAACAAGAAUAAGUUAUGAAUCAAACAGUUAAGUAAAUUGCAUUCAUGAUUUAUGAAAUCACAACUGAAAGUAAUCAAUUCAUAUUGCAAAUAUGUUCAUGGCUUUGAAUUUUCCUCUAGCUAAAACGAGUUUAGCUCCUCAUGUUCGCAAAACAAAGAUAAUUAAACUUAAACAUUGAAAACAAAAGAUGGAUUACACCUAAGAGUGUUCCAGCAAUCCAAGCUUGAAUGGCAAGCACGUCUAAGGGUCCUCCUUCUUCUUCUUUGUUGUGGCACAAGGUGUGGGUGAAGGUUUGAGUGAUGAAUUGUAUGAAAGAAUGGCUGAAAGUAUCAAUAGUAGUCAAUGGGUGAUCCUAAAGGUUGUGGCAAGGGCCUUUAUUUAUAGGUUUAAGAAAACCAAGGCCUAACUUAUUUGGUAAACAGGUUUGAUCCCAAAUUCACAAGGAGAAGGAGAAAUAAAUGUCAGAAUCCUAAGAAUAAAGGGAAAGAUAUGCGGCAGCUCCUAAAGGUUCCUUGUGCGGCACGGAAGGAAAUUUAAAGGGAUAGGUGCGGCAACCUUCUUUGAUUGGGAUUGUCCUUCUAGAACCAUGUAAUUAAGUGUCCUAAUAUAUUUAGAGAUCCUCCUUGCAAUUGGAAAUUAGGUGGUGUGGGAUUAUGACAAAAUAAGGUAACUUGGUUAACAUUCCUUCUUUCUUGCUGAGCUUCCUUAUCUUCCUUGUUUUGAAUUUAUUUCCUUCAUCUCUUUAGCACAUUCCUAGCUUAUUUUGAUCUUCAAAUUUGUCCAUCUACCUUGCUCCAUACAUGUGCUAUCCAUUCCAAGCCCAAAACUGCUCCAAAUUGCACUUUCUUGCUACUUUAGCCCUUUAGACCUACAAACACACGAAAAUAGCUUAAAAUACUAAAAUAACUAGGAACUAACAACAUAAAUGCAAGAAAACAAGCUAACUAAGUUGCGUAAAUAUGCUCCUAUCAAGCUGCCAAAGCUAUUGCAGAAUCUUCAAAACAAAAGGGCCUCCCAUCUAGAAAUAGUUCCAACACGAACAAUACAACCCUUCUAGUUGCCAAGAAUUCCACUUGUAGAGGAGAUGUAGCGUGAUCAACAGAAGUCGAGAGCCCAACUAAAAAAUUUCCGUUAUGAUCCCGAAUGAUGGCUCCAACACCACCUAUGCUCAAUGUGGAUGCAAAUUUCCGUCUUCUUCUUCUUAGACAAAAUUGCAACUACAAAAUAAAUAACACCUUAGGUCAAGGCUAAGAGCCUUACGCGCCCACGAUGAAUCUGAUGCCAAAGUUAGAAUUUUGAGGGAUAAGUGUUUGAAGACUUUAGAGAAUUUUGUAAGAGAGUUGGAAUUGAGUUUUGGAGAAAAUGAGAUGGUAUUUAUAGGGGUGUGGUCGGCCCCUUUGGGAGGAUGUGGAUCGGCCACUUGGAUGGUUAUUUGGGUGAGAUUCAUGAUUUGUUAGCUAAUUAAUAAAUUAAUUGGAUAAGUAAUCAAUUAAUUGGAUAAUUAAUCAAUUAAUUAGCUAAUUAAUAUAAUUAAUUAGCUAAGUAAUAUAAUUAGAAAUGAAUGAUUUGGGGGUUACCUUGUGGAGAAGAUUUGAUGAGGAUGGAUGAGAUAGGUUUUGAAUAAAUACCUAUUUUAGGCACUUUUGACUUGAUUGAGGGAUGAUUGCUCGCUGCUCGUGCGUAGAAAUCCCGGUGUGUCUCGAGGGUAAUCUUAUCUUUUUUACCCAAAAAUUCUCGUGUCGUCUCCAUAUUUUUCUUGAUUAUUUUUGGCUCCACACUCGAGUUUUUUGACCAAGCACCAUCGAAAUUACACUUUAACCACUUCGAGGGUGGAUGACUCCAUUUUUGUUGGUCACAAGACCGCGAUACCUUUGGUUGUUUAUGAAACUACUGAAAAGAAACCAUCCACUCCCCCGCUCGCAGCGCCACCUCCCUUAGUGCACCCGGAACUCCUCUCCAUAUCAAAUCAUUCCGCGCCUUCCACAAGCUCCAAAAAACCAUGAGCAGUAGCUAAUUAUAUUCUCAAUUAUAUUCUCAACCUUUUAGGCCUCGUCUGGUAUAGACGAUUUAAUUAGAAAGAAGAGGCUUACUUCACAAUUAAUUUCUUUCUAAACCCCAAAAUAAAGAGUCAUUCAUACACCCUUUCAACAUUUCCAGAGUUUAAGGGUUAGUUUGGAAUUGGUGUGAUGUGCAAAAAGCGUUUUUUUCAGAAGCAAAGCUGCUUCUGCUUUAUACUUUUUUGAAUUCAUGAUUUUGAUAAAAAAAUAACACUUUUUUUUUCAUUUACCAAACACAACUUUAGCCUAAACUUAAAAAAAAAAUUUGUUUAUAAAAAAAUUUCAAUCACCAUCCUCCAUAUUUACUCAUUGGUCUUGGCCUCUCAUUUUUGGUGCAGCUUCGGUUUCAAGUUAAUCUAAAAGCCAAGCCCAACAUAUUAUAAACAUUACACGCAAAUGCAAUAGAAAACAAGAUAUUGCUUUCAACACGCCAAUUUCUACUUCUCAAACACUCUUCUUAAUUUUCGAACAACAAUGCAUAGAGAGUGGAAAGGUGGUACAACUAACAGAGUGAGGAUCCUAUCCGGAUCCUCAUUGGGAACCUUUAAAUUGUGCCCGUUCAUCGUACAUCAUGCAUCUAAAAAUAAUUUAAAAUACAUUUAUUUAAAAUUAAAUAUGAAUAGUAUAUGAUAAAAACUGACCGCACGAUGUACAAUGAACGGACACGAUUUGUGAAUCUCCAAGAUACUCACAAAGAAGAUCUGGAGAGGAUCCUCAUUCCAGCUAACAUUGUCUUUGUGUAUGUGGCAGAAAAUCAUUGGUAAUUGUUGAAAUUUGUGGAAAAGGAACCGGACCAUGACCGUACAACGUGCGGUCAAUUUUCGUUAGGUAAUAUUUAUAUUUAAUUUUAAAUUUUAAAAUGAUUUAAAAUUUACACGAUAUACGAUAAACGGUUAUAAUCACGAAAUUCCAAAGAUUCCUAAAAAAAAAAAUCCAACGAAGAUCCUUCUCCGAAAAUUUGCAUCCAUAUGCCGGCGAAACGCCAUUUGUGGACCUUCUCAACCAACCACGUAUUAUUCCAUUUUAUUAUCUUACCAAACAAGUCACAAAGCAUUCACUUCAUUGUCUUCCAAAAAACCCGAAAACCCAAAUACAAAACAAAACAAAAUAGUUUACCAAAAAAAAAAUCUCCGGCGACUCCGAUGGACUCUAAACCCUCCAGCGAAGUAUCAUUCGAGUUCCCGACCGCCUUCCGAAUCUAUAAUGACGGCCGAACCGAGAGAUUCAAGGGCAUCGAAACCGUCCCACCCUCCACCGACUCGACAACCGGGGUCCAAUGCAAAGACAUCGUCCUCUCGCCACAAUCCGGGCUCUCUGCCCGCGUCUUCCUCCCCAAGCUCCCCGACCCGACGCGCAAACUCCCUCUCCUUAUUUUCAUCCACGGCGGCGCUUUCGUCAUCGAGUCCCCCUACUCUCCUCUCUACCACAAACACGUCAGGUUACUGGCUUCAGAAGCCAACGUCGUGGCUUUGUCGGUGCACUACAGGCGUGCCCCGGAGCACCCACUCCCCGUUGCUUUUGAAGACUCCUGGGAUGCAGUCGAAUGGGCCGCGGCCCAUUCCACUCGUAACGGGCCCGAGGCCUGGCUCAACGAUCACGUUGACUUUGACCGUGUUUUUAUAGGUGGUGACAGCGCUGGCGCCACUCUGACGCACCACGUGGUGCGCCAGGCCGGGCUCGAUGGGUUGAGCGGGACGAGGAUAGUGGGGAUGAUUUUGUUUCACCCCUACUUCAUGGAUGACGAGCCCGAUAAGUUGUUGGAGGUUAUUUAUCCGACAUGUGGUGGGUCGGAUGACCCGAGGGUGAGGCCGGGUAACGAUCCGAAAUUGGGAGAGAUUGGGUGCGGGAGGGUGUUGGUUUUUGUGGCGGAGAAGGAUUUCUUGAGGGACAGGGGUUGGGCAUACCACGAGGCGUUGAAGAAGAGUGGGUAUGGUGGGGUGGUUGAGAUUGUGGAGAGCCAAGGGGAGGACCACGUGUUUCAUUUGUUCAACCCAAGUUGUGACAAUGCUGUGGACUUGGUGAAAAAGGUGGUUUCUUUCGUAAAUCAAGACUAAGCUACCGCCGUAGCGAUCGAGAAGAUAUUGGAUGCUAUGGUCACGGCUUCUUGAAUUAAUCGCACAAUUACGGUUAGAUGUUGUAAUUUUUAUGUUUUAUAAUAAGAAUUAUCCAUUAUAUUAUAGACUAUAGAUAUACAAGCAUACAUUAUCUUCAUCAAGUUUCAGUUUAAUUUUAAUUAAAGCUCCCGGUGCUCUUCACUUUAACGAAAAAUCACAUUUUUACUCUAAAAAGUCAAUCCUAAUACUAUUCACUUACAACAUCUUUAUGUCAUUUUCGUUAAAACUCAAAGUUUUCAAGCAUUUUUUCAUGUUUUUCUUUAAUUAAAAUCACAAAAUCAAAGUAAGUUAGGGUGUAUUUAAUUAAAAUCACACCCUUGGAAGUGGAUCUAAACCCAAAUGUGAAUUUAUUUAUAAUCACAAAAUCAAUGUACAGGAUUCCAAUACUAGCAACCUAUAUACCAUAUACCAGCAAGUACAUGAUGAUUUCAGGUGCUCUAAAUCCAAGUUCCAAUUUCUACAAAAACAAUUAUUGUAUAUCGAUAUUGUGUUACCCAUUUUCGUCAUCAACCUGAUAGAUUAGUGGUCCAUCGCUUGACAUCAUUUUCAUGGCACAUUAGUUGUAACCACCUCUGAAUUUAAUUUCCAAUAUAUGUUUUAAUAAUAUGUAAACGAUUAGCAUACUUUUUAGGGCACCCAAAUUGCAUGCCAUUGGUAGUCUUUCAUUAACGACAUCCAUAAUUUGGACACUAUAGUUUUUUAUUUUUAUUUUUUUGAUAAUUUUCACUUUACUAUCCUUAAGUUUUACCAAAAUCGCACUUUAUUAUACUUAUUUUUUUUUCUCACUUUCAUAAACUUCCAUUAAUUUUCCUAUCAAGUGAUAUGUUAAGUGAUCCCUUCGUUGGCAAACAAGAAUAUUGAGAAAUUAUACUUUCAUUGAUAAAAAAUCAUAACCUUACUUUCUCCCGUUUUGGUGAGAGUUCUUUUCUCUCUAUGAGAACUUUUUGCAUUGUUUGUGUGUGGGCUUUCCCGAUCUGAUUUUCGUUUAACCGUCGUCCCUAGCUGUGGCCGACGUCGAUGGCAACCUCUAGUUCGUUUCCCAUCUAUUUUGUUUAUAUUUCCCAUGCUAUAUUUUGAUCCUCCAUCCCAUCUAUUGUUGUUUUACCUUGCAAUUCUAAACCCUGAUCUUCAAAUUAUCUGUCCUUCCUCCCCUUCAUCCAUGUUUCAAACACUACAAGAAAACAUGGAUUAGGUGACGGAAUUUUUUGUGGUACGUGCAAAUUCAUCACAUUUGGGUAAAAGAGGUGACGCUUUUUUGAAAAUUGUCACAUUAAGAUUUUCGUAGGACACCAAAAUAUUUUGCAUCACUUCUACUUUUAGAUUCGUCACACAUAAGUGAGCAGGAAAGUUCGCCACCCAAUGAAAUGUGAAUAUGUGACGAAAUUUAACAUUCAUCACAUAACGAAAGAGAAGGCCACCUGACCAUUCCUCACAUAUAACAUUAAAGUAAAAAAAGUUAAAAAAAAAUAUUGAAAGUAAUUACAAAACCCCUAAAUUGUAAAACCUAUUUCACUGUUCUCACCCAUCCCAUCUUUAGCACGCCUUCGUUCUACUCCCUCGCGUUCACUCCGACGACCAACCACCUGGUGGUUGCAGUGACGGCGACCACAACCUCUCCUUCGUCUCCCUCCCUUAGCCACUCGCUCGUCUGCUUUCCGUCACCGUCGAAGUGCUCGAGCAUUCAAGCUCUGAAAUCCCCAAUACAGAGGGUUUUUCUGCUUUUGUUCUCCAAAACUUUGGGUAUGUUCUCAAUCUCUAGAUCCUAUCCUUUUCCCUUUAGCUUUUUGUUAGUCCCAACUUUAUGGUGCUUUUCUUAGAUUUGUUCUAUCACUGUAAUUUUAAGUUAUUUUAUGUAAUGAAUUUGGUUGAGAAUCUUAGUUAGGUUUGUAAUUUUUUUCUUGGUUGCCUGGGUUUAAGGAUGAUUAAUCCACUUUCUGAAUUUUAAUUACUUUGAAGUUUGAUUUUUGGGAAACUGCAAUCUCAAAAAUCCAGACAUGAUUAUAUCUCCAUAAUUUCUAUAACAGAAUGUUCGCAAAAAGAUUCAAAUGUACUGCCAUAUUAGAUUAUUUGUCUUGAAUCCUAAGGUAGAUCUAUAGGGGCACGUUUGUUACACCUCCUUAGGAGGGAUUGGCUUGGACUACCUUAAGUAGGACUAUAAUCCUACGUUUGGUAGGUUGUGGGACUAAAAUAAAUGGGACUCGCCUCGACUACGAGUCCCUGUGAGGCGUGCUAGCCGGUCUUCACGAGUCCCCCCAAAAACCACGGGAUUAGCUAGGAACUUCGCUUCGUUAUGCUUGAUUCACCUCAUCGACCUCGAUUUCGACGGCAUCUCUCUUCGUCCUGCUUGAUUCACCUCCCUGCGAGCCCUUCUGUGAGUUCUGGGCUUCUUCCUCCUCCCUGCGAGGGUUCUUCCACCACCAACAUCAACCAUAAAAAAUCCCCCAUCUCAAAUUUCCCACCACCAACCAUCACCCACAAAAAAUCCCCAAUCCCAUAUUUCCUGCCGCCACCAUCGCCAUGGACGAGCCAUCCGAGAAGCUCCAGAACCUCAAGUCGUUGAAUUCUCUGCCAGCAGCAGGUGGAGUCGCUGGUGCAGGGCAAGGCAGAUUUGGAGUCCGAGGAAGAUUUGGGUGGACAAAAAAAAAGAGAGAGGAAGAUGAAAUGGUAGAGAAAGAGGAGAGGGGAGGGAUGCAAUGGGCGGAAAAAAAGAAGAGAGAGGAAGAUGUUCUAGAAAGGAGAUGAAAUGGCAGAGAAAAGGAGAGGGGAGAGCUGGCGGACAAAACAAUGAGAGAAGAUAAAAGGAAAAUGAUAAUUUAAUAAUAAAAUAUUAGUAUAUAUAGAUUAAAUUAAUGAUAAAAUAUUGUAAAUAUAAAUUUAAUAAUAAAAUAUAUUAGUCCUGCUUUUUAAUCCGACACUGCACCAAACGCUUCACUAAAUCAGUCCAGCUUAGUCUAGUCUAAGCCAGUCCAGCUUAGUCCCUGAAGCUAGUCCAGUCCGAGAUAGUCCGGUGCAACAAACGCACCCUAAAUGUGGACAUUUUGCUUCGACAGAAUAACUUCCACCUCAAUGCUUCAAUCAUGUUUUGUGUCUUUAAAUCCAAGAAAACUGACUAAACUAAAAUAAACUCUCCUGGUCAUUUACCAUGGGUGGUGAGAUGAGGGCCCAAGGAAUUUUGGUCAGUUUCUGGUCCACCAAUUUUAAAAUAGCCACAUAGCUCCAAGAAAAUAGACAGCAAGUGGUUUCUAGCAAGCUGCCCUUUUCACAUCCAAACUUGUUUUCCCACUUUACAAAUAUUCAUUCGAACUUUAAUUUACUGUACUGAACCCCUCACACAUUUUGUUUGACAAGCCUAAGACUUAAGUCAUAAGUUGCUAAAUCCCAUAAACAUAUAGCAUCUCUAGCAGCUUUAGCUUUACCGCAUCAGCACAUAUCCCAAACUCUGAAGAUGAAACAAACUAGUAUUAGAAUGUGCCUCUCAUCAUUUCUAGCCUAUCAUCAUCACAAACGUUUAAACUGACUUGAAUAGGGAAAAGGGAAGGAAGAAACACUUAAAAGAUCUCUACUAUUGACAAAGGAUAUGAAUAUAGGCAAGGUCUUGGGAGAAUAUUCUUCUGAAUAUAAAAGAAUAAAGUAACCAUGAACGUUCAAGCAUUAUGUCCAAAAAUUCUAAGGCCUGACUACUAAGUGUGUACAUAUAUCCAGCACAAUAAUACACGCCCAAAACUCUAAUGGAAAAUGAGCACGUAGAGAUAUGUCUUAUGUUCUUAACAUUCAAUUGCAACAUAGUGAACUGAGAUAACCCCACUUUUUAUAGGACCAAAUACAGAGAAUAACGGGUAGAAAGUAACAUUAAGGGAGAGAAGGCAAAACAAAUGGUAAGCACUACUAUUCAAAAUUUAGCUGGCACAACUGACUCACUUGUUUACAUCGGGGUGAAAAUUUCUUGCAAGCUUCCGAUAAGAUGAAAAGUGAGAAGUAUAUAAUAGAAAAAUUAGAAGACGAUAAUCCAGAAGAAGAAAAAACAAUACCCAAGAAAAGCUAAAAAACCACAAACCAUGAUUUAUUCAACGCUUCAAGCCUCUCAUUAUAAGUUAUUCGAUCUUUCAAGCACAUAAAUAUCACACUAGAUGCUUUAUGUAUCCAAAGAGUGAUAGGAGCUUAAUUUUAUUUUCUAACUUGUAUAAAUUCCAAAGCAUUUCACAUGUUGCACCACAUCAAGCAAUACCCUUGUGUAAUUGAUUGUGAGUCUUUUCAUUUUUUGUCAUUAUUAUUCUAUUUCUAUAUAAUCUUUUUAAUUUCAAGCUUGAUAACACAAGUCACUUUAAGUACUUAUAACUUUCAAGUGCUUGGUAAUGGUGAAUUUUUAUUAAAGUAUGUCAUUUAUUAUCCCUUUUGUCUAUGUUCGUGUUCUUGUUUAUGCUAAAUGUAAUAUAAUUUUUUUUAAAUAAUUGAGUUUGCAUAUGUGGUAUUUUUAAUUUUGAGUUGUAUUAGACGAUAUGAGGUGACUGAUGCUGAUAUGGGGUGACUGAUGUUGCAUCAGUCACCCCAUAUCGUCUAGUAACCUUAAAACCCUAUGGAGCAUCAGUCAUAUGCAAUAUCAGUCCUAUGCAGCAUCAAUAUGCAGCAUCAAUAUGCAGCAUCAGUCACCUUAUAUCAGCAUUAGUCCUGUGCAGCAUCAGUCACCCCAUAUCGUCUAAUAAGUUGGCUUCAGUGGAGGCCAUUUGGACUAAGUUAGGAAUGCUCAUUUUCUUGUUUUUGAAUUCCUGAAUGAGAUAAUCAAUUUGAGCAGCUUUCCUUUUUUACUACACCAUGAUGGCAUGCCUAUUCACACGACAAGGUAAAGUUGUAAUCAACUAUUGAAAGUUCCUUCAUCAUUAACUGGUUAGAUUCUAAUCCCAGCCUCUGUAGAAAUGUUUAGCAAUGCACACAUUCAGUUUGGUGAUUUGGAUACAUUUUUCAUUGGCGUGUUUAGAUGGCCUUUAUUUAUCUUCUACAAAAUAGUACUUGUAUCGAAAGAGCUUGAGUGGCAAACGCCACCUGCCCUAUGAGAAAAAGCACAAAAUCAAAGAAGCUCUUGAAGGUUUCCUAUCUCUAGAUACAUAUGUGUGUGUACUUUGUUUCUUAUUAGAAAUUUUGUUUUGGAGUCAUUCGAUUCGUAACAAUUUUGGGACAUUUUUUUCUGUGCGGAGGGGAAACCGAUACCCACCGAGCUUUAGAAUGAGGAGGCUGCUCUUUGUUAAUAGAUCGAUUUAGAGGACCAAAACACAACCGGUAUGGGGGUUUAUAGACAUUUUUGGUGGUACCAUGAAAUGCCUGUGUUGAUGAUUGAUAUAUAGUCGUUUUUACUGCAUGCGUGUUCAUAAGAUAUUAUGCAAGGCGAAUCUUGAUUAUUGACUGUCAUUUAAUGAUACUGUCGCAAGAACUGAAACUUGGUUUUCCCAAUGCGCAACAAAUGAAUCGUGGUGGCCAAGUUGAUGCAGUUUUUGAAUGAGCCUUCUAACUAUUAAUCAUCAUUAACUCUGUUAAAAGUUCUCCAUUUUCAAUCUAACUAGUGACACUAGAAAUGAUCGACUCUUUAUCAUUAUUGACUCUGUUAAAAGUUCUGAUGCUUUGGUCAUUUUCCAUGGUUAAGCAUAUACUGAUCUAUUUUAUUUUUUUUCAAAUCUUGUAGGUUAUUUAUGAAAUUAUUGAGAUAUCGUGGAGUACCAGAGUACUAUGGAAAAAUGGAGUUCCUGUUUAUGUUCAUAUUCUUGCAAUCGUAGAUGAGUUUGGAAGUUUAAUUAUACUUUAAGUAGUUUUUGUUAAUUUUUUUUUUGUUAGUAGAUUAUCUAGUCCUGACAUUUGGAGUCUUGAUAACUUACUAGGCUACAAUAAAUUAGUGAAAUCAAAUAUGCAAAAGGAGAAUAAAGAUAUGAUAGCACAACUGAAGGGUUGCAAUCCAAGGGCAGACCAACAGCAUCUCCAGAGGUAGUGAUAUCACUUUAGCCUUCAUUAGUAGUGAUAUUAGUUUAGCCUUCAUUAGUAGUGAUAUCAAUUUGAUCUUUAUAAAAGUUGAAUGCUUUAAAAUGAUAGUGAAUAAGUAGUUUAUGGUAUGAAACUAGAUAUAUUUUUCUUGUUAAUUAAUGGAAUUUUAAUCUAGGAUGUUUUCAAGCAAAAUUCAUAUAAUCGUAAGAAACAAAUUAAAGUAUUACCACAAGGGGCAAAACCAUUUCAUCCAACAUGCAAGGAAGGCUCGGUAAUGAAAUUAAAGCACAUAUAAAAUUCGUUUUGUAAUUUAGAUAGGCUUAUCUGUUAUGUUUCAGUCUUCUUACUGUAACUAUUUCUUCAAUUCUUAUUUUCUUCUCUUUUGUUAAUGUUAUUCAAAUUCUCAAUGCACCUGCUAUUGUCUAGACAAAAAUACACCAAUGUUUUCUUCUCUUUUAUUAUGUAAGGAUAAGAUGAAGAAAAAGAAGGAUGGAAUUAAAGGAGAAAGUAUUCAAGAAGCACCUGACAUAGUGAUGGUGAUCUUUCAAAUGACAAUGAUACUUGUGCUGAAUUGAAGACCAUGAUAUGGUUGAUGACUUAUGUAUUUUGUUGUUGGUUUCAAACAUGCACAUGUUAUACCUGUUUUAUUAUCGACUUAGUGGCUUAGAAUCUUGUUAGCAUCUCAAUAUGUCUAGAGGUGUUAGGAUGCUUAUGUUAGCUUUUAGGAUAUACUUGGUGUAUGUAUUGGAUGUUACCUAACUUAUUGAUCAAUGAAAUGUGAUUAACCAAAGUAUUACCUCAUAUUGUUAUGAGUGCUAAUUCUAGAUGACGAAGAAGGGUAUGAAUUGCUCCUAAUAGGUAUAUGAAUUUGACACAUGUGACACAAAUUGCGCCACAUGCCAAAGGAAUAUGUGACGCAUUCAAUCUCACUUAUCAUCAGCCAUAGCAUUCUACGAUCAGAUUGCAUGAUGAUAAAUUCCUCACUUAUACAUUUGUUAUGUGACGAACUUAUAGGUCACUAACUUUUGUGUUUUGUGACGCUUAUUUCGUCACACGUAAAGUUAUUAAGUGACAAAUGCGGCGUCACGAAUACUAAAAAUAUGUGGCGAAUGAAAAAAUUCGUCACUAAACUAUAGGUGACGCUGUAUAGGUGACACACACACACAUAGUGACGUUGGAUUUGUCACAUAUAAUCAAAUGUGAUGAAUUUUCAUGUUUAUGUGAUGAAUGUCUGUCGCCACAUAAGUCAUGUUUUCUUGUAGUGAAACAACUAAUUUCUCCCACUUCUCUUAUUUCUUUCCACUAUGUUCUCGUUUUUUUUUUCUCAUCCCCUAAAAUUGCUCCAUCCCCCUUUGUUUUCACACCAAUCUUGAUAUGCAACUAUAUCUCCUAAACAAGUUUUGACGCAGAUUUGCCAGAAGGUGCAUAAAGCUCCGAUUCGGGUGUUAACACCACCACCUUCUACUUGUGUGACUUUGUUGGCAUGGAUGCAUGUGAUUUUCCCAUUGGCAUCCCUAUCAGUUUCUUUCGUGGUGUGGUGGCGGAUCGUCAAGUGUUGGUUCAAGGAUGAUGAAGCUAUGUGUUUUCCUCUUCCUGGGAAUUUGUCUAAUCAGAAUUUAGGCUGCAAGAUGAUGGAGAAUCUGUGGUGUUAUGGUGAUGGCAAGGGUAUAAUUACUUUGGUUUUUUUGUUUGCUUGGUUUUUGCGCUCACCCUUUGUUGACUUGGGGCACUGGCUUUAAAGUUUAUGGUCCUGCUUUUCUCUUGAUCUAACUUGUUGUAUCUGGAAUUUUAUGUAUUUGUACUUUGUUGGAAAUAAAAUCUUUCCUUUGACCAAAAACAAAAAAACAAUCACAACCUUACAAGUGGCAUUUAUACAAUGGCUUGACACACACACUUGUAUUGCCAACUCAACCUAACUACCAUAACAAACUUAGCCAAACUAACUCAACAAACUAACAAACAAUUACAACAAAUUAACAGAAUGAAAAACUAAGCAAAGUUUUAUCUUUUAUGAGAGAAUUGUCUUUAAUAUUCCCCCCUCAAACUGAACUUAGGAACUCUGAGUGAAAGUUAUGUCUGAGAAGAAGAAAUCUUGGUUUUGACAAUGAAUUGGUACAGAUGUUUGCAAUCUGGUCUUGUGAGCAAACAAACUGAAUUGAAACAACAUUGAAAUGACCUUUUCUUUUAUAUAUUGGUAGUAUAUCUCCACGUGUGUGGUUUGAGCAUGGAAGAUUAGGUUCUUUGCUAAGGAUAUUGUUGGAAUAUUGUCACACCAGAGCUUAGGAGGAAAAGAAAAGACCAAGCCAACACUAACUAAAGGUCUGCAUAUCCAAGUAAGCUUGGCAGCAAUGUUUGCUAAUGAUUUAUACCCUGCCUCAGUAGAUGAUCUAGUCACUGUAGGCUGUUUCUUGACACUCCAAUUGAUUAUAGAGUUGCCCAAAAACACACAAUAUCCUCUUGUUGGUUUCUUGUCAAUUGAACAACUUGCCCAAUCAGCAUCUGAAAAGGCAUUUAUACUCAGAGGUGUUCAACUUUUAGAUAACCAAAGACCAAGAUCCAAAGAGCCUUUAAGAAUUGUUGAAUCCAGCUCGUCCACCACGAUUGUACAUUUUACUUGAUGUCUAAUUAUAUCGCUGAUUAUUGUUAUUGCCUUGAUAGUUGGAAAUUUUUUUAUCCACGCCACGGUUCUAAUUAUUUAUAAGGUUUAAGAAGUUUCGAUCCAUGCCAAGACCUUGGUGUUGAUUGAAAUCGGAUGCAUUAUGAGCUUGAAAAGCUUGAGAAUUCGAGUUAUUUGUUGGGGUAGGGAAUGCCAGUGGAUGAAUUGAAAGCUUGGAUUGAUGAAGAUGGAGAAGAUUUCUAUCAAUUUGUCAGUUGAAUUUCCUUGUUGAAAAGUAAGAGCUCAUCAAUUGUAGUAGUACCAAGACGAUACUGAAUCACAUUCACAUAUGAUUCAUACUCAGGAGGAAGGCCAUAAAGAGUGACCGAUAUGAGCUCAAUAUCAUCAACCGGAGAUCGAGCGCUGGUAUUAGCAUCUACGAUUUCUUCAAUUUGUUGAAGAUAAAGUACAGUAGUGGAAUCACCUUUCGUGAUAUUGCGAAGAGAUCAAAGCUUAUGAAUGUGUGAUUGCGAAGCCGUCGCAAGUCCCGAUUCCAAUUUUGCUCAAAGCUCUCGAGUCGAAGUCACACCGAUUGCAUAUGGAAAUAGAGAAUCAAAGAGUGUAGAAUUAAGUUAGAUGAGAAUAUUCUGGUCAUUUUUUAAACAAGUAACAAACUCAGGAUUCAGUGUUGAAGUUCGAUUUCAUUAAGAAUUAAGAAUAAAUUUGGACAAAGGAGUCAACAAUCAAUCAACAAUUCGGUGAGAUUGUACUGACAAAAGAUCGGAAGGAACAAUGCACUCCAAGUCAGGCAAUUUGUGGUUGUAAGUUUAAUUGGAACCAGAGAUCCAAUAUUUUGGAUUGUGAUGGAAGAAAUUGAGGAAUUGGGGCUCGAAUUCAUGAGCAGAGAAUGAUGAAUUUGAGAAGUCGAAUUGGAGGAGGGAGAAGCAGAGGUAGCCAUCUUUGUGAGCUAGGGUUUGUAGAGAAAAUUGGCAAAAACCUUGAAGAUCGUCAUGAGGAAGAAGGAACACAUCUUGGCUUUCGGAUUCUAGAGCCUGAAGACAAGGCUGUUAGUUUUGCGAAGUUCAAUAUCAAAUUCGGUUUCCAAUGUGCAGAAUGUAGUAAUCUGGUAACACCUCACUUCGUCGAGAAAGCUAAUGAGAUGACCUCUACCAACAAGAACUCGGAAAUCCUUGUUGACCGAGACUUGGAUAAAUAACCAGUCGGUCUCGACGCAGUGCUGUUUAUUCAAACUAAAGGUGCUUCUCAGUCGGCUGAUUCUACGGCUCCAAUGCUAUCUAUCCAAACUGAAGAUGUUGCCAGUUGCCUUCACAUUGCUGUUUAUCCAAACUGUAGAUGUGUCGGUGUGAAAAAAAGGGAGAAAGAUAAAAUUCUUAGGGUUGUUGAGAAGCUUUGCGCAGGACAAUUUGUGUGUUGAAUUGGAAGGGCUUCUCAAUUGCCUGCCACUCCGUAUUUAUAGAGCUGCUACACUGGCUUCGGCGGCUAACAUUAUUGCAGAAUCCAAUUGCAUUUCAAACUCACAAAGAAAUUUACGUUAAGCAGGCCAAAACCCAUGUUUUAGUCAUUUGACUUAUCUUUAUCUCAUCCUAACACAUUUAGUUAACUUAAAGCUCAACCCUAAAUAAUCAUCUCAUGCAAACUGGAGCCAUGUGUUCAUUUGCAGCAACUUGAUGUACUGUGACUUUAUCUCCAAAACUUGCAUGUGAUGCCAUUUGACUAAAUUCUUGGCAUCCUGCCAAGGAUAUUCGAUCCCACCAUCAUUUCAUAAUCUUUAUCCAUGCAUGCAUGAGAGAUUUUUUAAAAUGAUCAGUACACGGGAUGGUACACCACGUAUCACUAAAUAAAUGGUGGGAUAUGUAUGCUAAAAAGUUAAUAACUUAAAAAUUAAACUUUCUCAACAUUCUUAUUAAAACACGUGAUGUACCACUUGUGUUUCCGUCACAGCUAAAAAUUUAUCUGCAUGCAUGGCAACCUCCUGUCACAUCACAUCAUUAUUUCCUUAUUUCAUCUAUAGGCUAAAGCCUAUUAUCCAAAUGACUGACUUUUCAAACAAGAUAAUAGUCCAUCCUGACUUAUCCCAUCAUGACCAAAAGCCUAGCCUAUCUAGGCUUCUUACCUCAUUGUAAUUCCAACACCAUUAUUUUAGCAUUACCCCAUGCUUUCUGCAAAGUAAAACACCUUUGAAACUUUAUUACCACACGACACUUAAGCCACGUGCACAGAACUGAUCCAAAAACAUUUGCACUUUUAGAAAUAACUGGCAAAUUUUACGCGCAUGUUGUUGCAGGUGCGAAAAUAUAAUUAUAGAUUAUAUUUUUAACAUGAAAAUAUGCAAAGUGUUAUAAAUACUAAACAGAAAAUGGAAUAAAUAUUUUUCCAAAGCUGUCAAAAUUUAUAUAAUUUACAGAAAAGACAUUAUCAAAUGCCUUAUCAUUAGUAUACAAAAAUGGUAAACCUAGUAUUCCGCCUCGAUAAUUCAUGUUUGGAUCAACUAUUUACACACAAAAAAAUGUGAUCCAAGACUUGUUUGUUUUGGAUAACACAUGGCAACAUCCUUUAACACAUGAGCAAAAGAUUUUUGGUUGAAGCAGUCACUAUAGAAAAAAUAGUUUUGAUCAUCAGAAAAAAAAAAAAGGAAGCUAAAAAUGAAAGAAAAUGUUAAUAUAACUGUAAUAAAUUUUUGAGACGAAUAGAUUCAUAGCAUGGAACAACCAAUAAUAAACAACAAUUACCUAGUCUUUUUUGUACGGAGCAAGGUCUCUUGUUAUCAAGAGAAAACAAAGCUUACAACUUCAAUAGAAAAGAACAAUCUACUGUUGCAAGCAACUUAACGUCCACUUUGCAGAUUUUUGGGGAACCACUUUGCAGGUUUUGUGGAACCACUUUACAAGUUUUGUGGAACCACUUUAAAAAUUCAAAUCUUUAAGCACUUGAUGAUAAGUUGAGAGAUUACUUUCUAAUUAUCAAAACCAUUACUGGAUUUAUGCAGACACAAAAUCUCACAAUAUUAUUACCACAACUUUAUACAUAAUAGGAACAACACUAUAAUCAUCUGUCUACCAGAAAUUAACUCUUCUACAGCAGCAAGUUUAACAUUAUGUUGUGAAAAAAAAUCGUCUUUAAUUGAAACCAUGUCAGAGACCAAAAGCUAAAUUUAGUAGACUCCUUUGUUUGGUGUCACUCAAAAAGUGAAUAAUCAGGCAAAUACUCCACAUGUGGUGUGGCCACUGUCCGAAGCAGCAAGAACCAUUCUGACUUAAUACUCCACAUGUUUUCUGGCUUAAGAUUGCAAAGAACACACUCUCCGGUUCUGCCACGGAACAAUUAAUGUGAAUAAACGUUGACAAAAAUUGAUAGUAACUUAAUACCCCCAAAAAAGUAAUGAGAAAGUAUGAAAUGUGAGUCACAGUCAGAGUAAGAGUAAGACCAAGAGAAAUAUUAUAUUGUGAGAAUGUGAGCAAGAGUGAAAAUAAGAGUGAGAGAAACACACAGAAAUUCUACAAAGAAAACAAAAAAAAAACAACGAAAUCACACACACUGAAUGAGAAAAAGAUUAUAUUGUGAGAUUCGGAGUGUGAAAUAAGGAAAAAAAAUUUAAAAUAAAAUCGUUGCACUCUCACCGUUUAAAAUUUGGCAGGAAUGGACAAUUUAAUUAAAGAGCGAAAAAUUGCACCACCAAUGAUUGUACAGUGGGAUUCUUUGGCUGUUUUCCUAUGUACCAAUCCUUAACUGCAAGCCAUGAAAACCAACGUUAUCAAACAAAGUACAAAAUUGUUUUGUAAAACAGAAAGUAAAUGUAAAUUGAUAGAAACAAAGGGAAAACCUACAAUGCAGAAAUUUUAUUCAUGAAAAUUAUCUCAUUUUUUAACCACUAUAUAGCAGCACACAAAAUCUAUAACCAGCACAUAUUUCAACUUUAUAAUACAAUUAAAAAUAACAAAAGACUGAACUAAACUGCCAACACAGAUCAUUUAAAAAAAUUUAAACCAAAAAUGUCCAAAAUUGUUUUAAUUUCAUAAAUACAAUUACAAAAACGCAAAGAUGUUUAUAGAUAGGUUGAAUUACAAAAAUAAGUUAAUUGAUAAUAGUUCUCAAACAAUAUACAUUUCAGAGAAAGAAGAGCCAAUUCUAUAUUAUAGGCUUCCUCUGUCUGUGUCCAUCUACAUUAGCCUUUUAUUUUGCAACAGAAGUUUAGACUUGAAUUUAUGUGCUGGCAGUUGAGUGCAACAUUUCAUUAUUUUGAAUCAUAUUAUAUAGUUGUCCUGUAUUCAGGUUAUCCUUAAUCCAACACAACCAGGGCCGGUCCAGAGUUUUUGGGUGCCCAGUGCGAAAGCUCAAAAUGUGCCCUUUUUUAAUACCGAAACAUAUAUUUAAAAAAAAAAAAAUUUAACGAGGGCUGGAAUCCAGUCGAAGCUGGGGGUCUAGGUCCUCAUGCCCAAAUUAUAUUACUUGAGAAAAUAUACAACUGGGGGGACAUAGUACCUAAACCCCGACAAUCAAAAAUACAAUCAUAUACAACCAUUCCUAGCAAAGCUCCUUUAAAUUUCAACAUUUAAGAAAUUGUCUUCUGGCAUUUUUUGAAGCAAAAUCAUCAAUUAUACCAUCAUACUCCAAGUCUUAAACUUUCGGCAAUUUUGUUAUCCUUUGCCUUUUUAUAUAUAUAUAUAUAUAUUACCAGAGAGUUGUUUCCUAAAAGACAUGACUUCGAUAAUUUGUUUACAAAAAUUACCUACACAUGAUAUAACAAAAUUUUCCUAUCAAAACUAUCAUUCCAACACAUUAUAUAUUAUAAAAACACUAACACAUAGUCUAACAUAUUAUAAAAAUUGAACCUAAAAAUUGGGUUUAAAAUGAAAUCAAUUAUCAAAUAAUUCAAUGAUCAAUUAGUCAAGAAUUCAUUUCAUCAACAACAAUAAUUCUAUACAUCAAUUAUCAAUUUAUCAUAUAAUUCUAUGUCACUUGCAUUGCAAAAUUUUAUAUUAAAUUAUAAAUUGAUAAUUCAAAUUUUAAAAAUUAGUUACCUCAAAACUCAAAAUGGUUGGUGGUGAGGGAAUGUACUUGCAGCAGCGUUGCUGAGACUGAGGAGUGUGGAGUGGAGGAUGCCCUCCCCUGCGGCCUGCCUGUUUAGCUGCUUGCAGCAGCUUGCUGAGAAUAUUGAAGAUGUAGGGAACGGCAACAGAGAAGUGGAUGAUGUAGGGAUUAGGGUUUAAUUGGGACCUAGUGGUCCCUUUAUGUUUUGUUAUGUUUUUUUUUAUUUUUUUCUAAUUUGCGGCUGGGCCCUGUUGUUUGUUUAAUUUUUUUUUUAUAUAAUCUGCUGCUGGGCUCUUUCUCUAGCCCUUUUGUUGCCUCUUGGACUCUUGCCAACCCCUAUUUGGGCUGUGAACUUUUUUUUUUGUUUUUAUACUUAGUUAUAUGGAUUUUUUUUUUAUUCUGGUGCCCUCUUCAUUUUGGGGCCCUGGACAGUUGCCCCUGUGGCACUGGGCCUGGGCCGGCCCUGAACACAACACCAUGUUAUACUUGCAAUCUCUGUCAAAUAACAAACUUUAGAGCAAAAAGAGUCUUCUCCACUUGGGAUUAAAAACAUCCAUCAAAUGAUUUCAGAUCAGACUCUAAGCUUGUAAAACAUGUUUUUAUGAAAACAGAACAACGGAAAGUACGAAAAACUUAAAACCAACCAAGUGGCUUUCUUAGAGGAAGAAAUUGGAGCUAACACAAACAGAAUGUAUCAAAUUAACAAUAUGCAAUCAAUGAACUAUUUCAUAACAAAAACAGGUAAAGGCUUAAACCCAACUCUAUCUAUUGCCUAAUCUUUCCAACUCAGCCAUAACCUUCAAAUGAAGAAUCUAUUGGUACGCCCAAUCAGUCCACAAAUAGAGAAAGAUAGUAAAUUGACAAACAGUGCAGAAAUUAUAAAGGAGAAAGGAAGAGAAUAGAACAAGGAGGAAAGAAGAGUCAAUUUCAUUCAUAGCCUUUCUCAGAUUACAGCACAUUAUUUAUAUUCAAUCUGAAAAAGGAACCUUAGCACAAACAGGCUGGGCCUUGAGCAAAACUUAGUUAGAGGCUGACAAGCAUGGGCUGAGAGGAAGAGCUAAAGGGCCCAAACCAUAUGGUCCUAACAACUCCCCCCCGCUUAAGAGAAGACCCGUCCUCAGGUCUGAAAAUAAGGAUAACGGGCAAUAAUGUCGUCGGCUUCCUUCCAGGUAGCAUCUUCUGUUGGCAGUCCCACCCGUUUGAUUAGCCAUUUGGUUACUGCUUUGUUCUUUUUCUUGAAGAGGCCUCUGUCCAAUAUCAUUUAUGGUUGCUAAUGGAAGAACCCUGUGGAAUCGAUCGGUGGAAGGGUGGGAUUUGGAGUAACCGCUGCACCAACCUUCUUUUUGAGCAAGCACACGUGAAAAACAUGAUGGAUUUUUUGAGUUGUGUGGAAGGUGGAGACGAUAGGCCACAGUGCCAAUGCGUUCUUGAAUUUGAAAUGGGCCAUAGAACUUAGGUACAAGCUUGUUGGAGUGGCGCAUGGCGACAGAUUGUUGCCGAUAUGGUUGCAACUUGAGGAAGACCUAAUCACCCACUCUAAAUUCCCGUUCUGUUCGGCCUUUAUCAUGUAUUUGUUUCAUUCUGUUUUGAGCGAGCUGCAAGUUGGUCCUCAAAAGACGAAGCAGCUGAUCACGAUCUUGUAGAGCGUCAUCAAUGGAGUGGACAACAGUUGUGCCUAGGAGAUAAGUGUGAAUGGAUGGAGUAGGGACAUCGUAAAGUCUUGAAAUGGUGACAUCUUGAUGGCGGAUUGGAAAGUGGUGUUAUACCACCAUUCGGCCCAAGGAAGGAGAGCAGACCAUUUGCUUGGUUUAUCAGCAGAAAAACAACGGAGGUAGUGCUCCAAAGUGCGAUUGAGAACUUCCGUUUGACCAUCCGACUGAGGGUGAUAGGCUGAACUAUGGCAAAGUUUGCUACUUUGAUGUUUGAAAAAGUCUUUCCAGAAGUUACUAAGAAAUGUCGGGUCACGAUUAGACACUAUGGAUUUGGGCAUGCCAUGUAAACAAAAAAUCUCUUUGAUGAAGGUGUCCGCAAUGGAAGCUGAAGUGUAGGGAUGUUUGAUGGGAAUGAAGUGACUGUACUUGGUUAAACGAUCCACCACGACAAAGACAACGGUGUAACCACUAGAUGAAGGCAACCCGUCAAUGAAAUCAAGGGUAAUAUCCUACCAAAUGCCGGCAGGGAUUGGUAAUGGCUGCAAUAGACCGGGUGGGUGGAUGGUUUCAUGAUUUUGACGCUGGCAUUCGGUGCAAUGAGCAACAAAUGUCUUGACAUCCUGUCGUAUGCCAGGCCAAAGAAAGCUGCGUUUCACUCGGUGAUAGGUCUGAAGGAACCCCGAAUGACCACCUUGGAGAGAAUAAUGAAAUUUGUCGAGUAUUUUUUAGCGUCAUGGUGAUGUAGAAGGAACGAAAAUUCUGUGCUUGUAGUGUAGGACACCAUUAAGGAGUGAAAAACCACGAAUGGUGGUAUCUGGUGAUGUCAACAAUGCGGACCAAACAUCUUUAAUAGAGGGGUCCGUGGCAUAUAACUGUUGGAAGGUAGGGAUGCAGUCGAAAACGGGAGAGGAGAUACCCAUAAGUGGCAUUGACUCGGCUUGACGAGAAAGAGCAUCUGGAGUGCCAUUAUGAGACCCCGGUCUGUAUUCCACUGAAUAGUUAUACCCCAAAAGCUUGAUGAACCAUUUUUGUUGAUUUGGAAUGGUGAUUCGUUGCUCAAGGAAAUACUUGAUUGGCUUAUGAUCCAUAACAAUUGGAAAUUGUUGGCCGAGCAGAUACGGUCGCCAAUGUUGUACGGCAGAAAUAAUAGCUAAUAGUUCUUUGUCAUAAGUGGAGAGGGUGAGAUUUCGCCCUGAUAAGGCUUUGCUAAGGUAAGCAAUGGGAUGGCCCUCUUGACAUAAUACUGCUCCUAUGCCACUGCCCAAUGCAUCUUUUUCCACCACAAAUGUUUUUGUGAAGUCUGGAAGAGCAAGAAUUGAAGUUAAGGCCAAUGCCUGUUUAAGUUUCUCGAAGGCAGCAAUAGAUAGUGGGGACCAAGAAAAAUUGCCCUGCUGCAACAUGGUUGUUAAGGGCUUUGCUAUCAACCCAUAAUGUCUGACAAAUUUCCGGUAGUAACCGGUCAAUCCCAAAAAUCCUCGAAGGCUUUUGAUGCAAGUUGGGCGGUGCCAAUCGAUGAUUGCUUGAAUCCUUGAAAUGUCGACAGAAACACCAUGACCCGAGAUAGAGUGGCCCAAGUAAUCAAUUUUAGUUUGGCCAAAGGAACACUUGCUGAGCUUUACUUUCAAGCUGUGUGUUGAUAAGAUUUGAAAAACAAACUCCAAAUGGGAGAGGUGAGUGUUUAAAAAAGGACUAUACACUAGUAUAUCAUAAAAAAAAAAUUAAGACAAACUUACCUAAGUACGGACGGAAAAUUGAAUUCAUUAGGGCUUGAAAAGUAGAUGGGGCAUUGGAGAGGCCAAACGGCAUUACCAGGAAUUCAAAGUGUCCGUUAUGGGUACGAAAUGCCGUCUUGGCAAUGUCAUCUGGGGACAUACGUAUCUGGUGAUAGCCGGAACGAAGGUCGAGCUUGGAAAAAAUGGCUGCACUGUGUAGCUCAUAUAGUAAUUUAUGUACCACAAGUAUGGGGAAGUGAUCCUUGAUGGUGGCAGAAUUAAGGGCCCUGUAAUCAAUACAAAGGCGUCAUGACUCGUCUUUCUUUUUGACCAAGAGAGCAGGUGAGGAAAAUGGACUGUUGCUAUUUCGAAUGACACUGGAAUUAAGCAAUUCCUGCACUUGUCGUUCAAUUUCUGCUUUCUGGGAAUGUGGGUAGCGAUAAGGGAGGACAUUUAUGGGAUUGGUAUUGGGAAGCAAGGGAAUCUUGUGAUCGAUUUGGCAUGGUGGUGGUAGGCCGAUGGGAAGAGUUAAAAGGUUGCAGUACUUUGACAAAAGUGAGGUAAUUGCAGGAUGAGUAUUAGGUGGAGGUGAUAUUUGGGUGUCGGUGAGGUAGGUGGGCGGUGGUGGGAGUGGGCUGUCGGUGGGGAAGUUGGGUUUGAGUGAUGGUGGGGUAGAGGAAUUGGUAUAUUGGGCUGAUUGGCAAAGAUGAACUGUUGGUUGGGUUGUAGUGAGGCCAUGUAGGAUGUAGGUAAUACCUUGCACAGUGAAUAACAUUGUUUUGUGUUGGAAAUGCCAACCUAUAUAGCCGAGAGAUUCCAGCCAUUCUGCUCCCAAUAUUAAAUCAUAUCCAGGGAUGUUUAAUAAAAGAAAUGAUCCAGUCAGGGUGUAUUCUUGGAGCUUGAUGGUCACAUUGUGGGCUCUCAUGCUUGCAGAAAUGUGGUUAUGUGAUGCUAUUGUAAAUGGCACAGGGGUGAUGUGCUCAAUAGGCAAUCCCAACUGUUGUGCUAUGUCAACCCGCAACAGGUUGCAAGCGACUCUUGAGUCGAUUAAGACUCUGAUAGGUGUGGAGUCAAUUGUGCCAGUCAAACGCAUAGGGUGGCUCAUAUUGCAGCCUAGGAUGGUGAAUAACUCCAACAUGUGGCAAUGUGGGUCAGUAGUGGUCUCUGCCUCGGGAAUGCAAUCAUGGAACUUAGUGUUAUCAUCCACGUUGUCAAUGUCUAGCAACAUGAUCAGGGGGUUUUACAUUUGUGGCCAGGAAAAUUGGGUUCUCUGCAAUGAAAACAUUCAUUCUUCCGUAUUUUUUCUUGAACCUCAGCAAAGGUUAGACGUUUGAAGGGGGCAUUGGGGUUAUGGCGUGGUGGGGUAGGGACGCUGUUUGGGAAAGUAGUGGUGGGGAAGAGGGGUCGGGUAGAAGGUGAGGAUUGGAGUUAGCGAGAAAAGCUAGGACGAAAUGAGCGUUUGGCUUGGUUUUUUGUUUCAAAAAUUUUGGCUAGUUUCUGUGCUUGAUGAAGGGAUUCAGGUUUGAGGGCUAGUACGUCGUGACGAAUAUCGUCACGUAGACCACCAAGAAAAACAUGUUUGAGUUGGUUCUCAGUCCAAUCAAUGACUCGACAAGAGAGUUUGGUAAACUCAGCUAUGUAAUCGUCCACUGAGCCUCUUUGUUGAAUAUGAGUAAGUUGGGAUUUGAUAUUUGCUCGAUCACCUCCUCCAAAUCCUUGAAAGAGUAAGUCGACGAAGAGACCCUAACUAUCUCGGCUGUAGCGCUGCUCAAAACCACGCAUCCAAAUGGAGGCAUCUACCCCAAAAUUACAAGCUGUUACUAGAACCUAUUGAUGUGGUGGUACCUCAUAAUAGUCUAGGUACCUUUCGGCCAUUGCAAGCCAGCCAUAUGGGUCGUUACCAUUAAAUCUAGGUAAUUCUAUUUUAAUGGUUUUAAAAUUGGGGGAAUGGUGAUAUGGUUGGGGUUUGGAUGAACUGGGGUUGUGGAUGGUAGGACAUGAAAGGAAUGGGUUUGGGUGGUUAUAGGUGAGUAAGGUUUUGGGGAAAAUAUAGAAGGAGAUGCGUUUGGUUGUUGCGAAUAGGUCGGUCGGCUGGUGAUGGGUGUGGGAGGUAGGGUGGUGCGGGUAGAGGAUAAAAAAGGGGGAAGUGGGGCGAGGCUCGGUGAAGGAGGAUUUGAGAGGCUGAGAUUCAAGAAUGUUGGGUUGGGGUGAGAACAAGGCGCGGAAUGAAGGUGUGGUGGUGGUUGUGGGUGGGCGAAUGGUCGUCGGGUUUGGGUUUAUGUUGGGUUGGGGUUGUGGUGCGCUGGAGGUGUGGUGGGUUGGGGAUGGUGUGUGUGGGGUGGUAGUUUGGAGGAAGGAAGACUCGAUUUCAGAAGACGAAGUUCGUCGAGUAUCAACUGAAAAACUAUGAACUGCGAGGUGAAAACAUGUUGAAAGGUCGAGGUCGAGCUAUUCAUGCUGUCAAAGGAUUUCUGGAGGGUGGUUUGUUGGGUUUCAAGAGCUGUAAGGGAAUCGCAGACGCCUUCCACUUGAGAGUGGAGGUGCUCAUGGCGAGAGUCCAUCGCAGCGGCGACGGCAUCCGGGUCCGAGGAGGUGGCGGACUAGGUGUUCUUGCCCAUCGAAUGACGGGCUCUGAUACCAAUUGGUAUGCCUAAUCAGUCCAAAAACAGAGAAAGACAGUAAAUUGACAAACAGUGCAUAAAUUAUAAAGGAGAAAGGAAGAGAAUAGAACAAGGAGGAAAGAAGAGUCAUUUUCAUUCAUAGCCUUUCUCAGAUUACAGCACAUUAUUUAUAUUCAAUCUGAAAAGGGAACCCUAGCACAAACAGGCUGGGCCUUGAGCAAAACUUAGUUAAAGGCUGACAAGCAUGGGCUGAGAGGAAGCGCUAAAGGGCCCAAACCAUAUGGUCCUAACAACUAUUUAACUAAAAACAUUUUGCAGAUGGUCUAAGAGCAGUUUGUACUAACCAAGUUCUCUACACACCAUUAUCGCUCAGUCGAUUCAAAUCUUCAACAAAAAAGGUGGGUUGCUAGAUUCAUACCUCUCUACCAUCUUUAAGUGAAUCCAUAAUGUAAAAUAUCUUCACAGUUCAAAUUAAAAAGAAAAAAAAUAAAAAAAUUGAAAGAACUUGAGCAUCAUACUUUCUUACUCAGAAAUAGAGAGAAAAAAGAAUUGGGGGAAAAGUUGGGAAAUUUACUAGAGGAGUUUAGGUGGAGGCGUUGAGAGGAGGCGAUCGGCAAGGCAGAUUGAAGCUCGAAGGGCGGAGCUUCGAUUCUCCGGCAGUGGCCAGAUCUAGGGGUUUUCCACAGAGACAGAGGGAAACCUAGAUUGGGAAAAUAGGGAGAGAAAUAGAGACCUUGAUUCGAAGAGAUAUGGUGAAGCUCUAAAUCGAGCAGCUUGGUGCAGAGAAGAGUGAGGAGAGGAGGGAGACGGGGAGAGCAGGAGUCAAUCAAAAUAAGGAAAAGUUGACAAUGGAAACGGGAGAGGAUGAACGCAUGGCCUCAGAGGGCAAGGAAAUCAUUUAACUAUAGAAAAGAUGGCAAAAAAUUGGCUUAACAAACAAAUUGAGGGGCAUUUUGGUCCGCCCACUGCCCUAGAACAGUAACCAGAAGUUUGGGUUUUAGUAUAUAUAGAAUUUUCAAUAAUUCUUCAGAUAAUUUUAUUAUGAUUAAAAUCAUAAUAAUAUCUAGAUAAAUUAUUAAGAAAUCAUCUCAAUCUUCUUUCAAUCCAACGACUCAGAAUUUUACUUAUUCUACGACCUCGAUCCUUGAUUGCUCGGACCUAUAGUGUAAAAUCGGGUUCAAACACACACACUUAUGCUACCAACUCAGCCUAACUACCAUAACAAACUUAGCCAAACUAACUCAACAAACUAACAAAUGAUUACAACAAAUUAACAGAAAGAAAAACUAGGCUAAGUUUUAUCUUUUACAAGAGAAUAGUACUAAGAAACAGUGGGACGGUGCCAUUUCUCAAAGUGGAUUAUCCACUAGCUGAUCAUGAUAUUUUUUUUUUAAUUUUUAUUUUUUUUGAGAACCGCUGAUCAUGAUAAUUUAUUAAAGCAAAAUUGAGAUGAUUGAAUUGCCUUCUGCGGUACUCAUAGGCACCACCAGACAUCCCAUGUGGAUUGCGGCAUCCCACCAUAUAUCCUAUUAAUAUUAUCUGCUUUCUGUUUGGUUUCUUCGAAACAUGGAAUCCAUCCUUUCUUCGACAUCAUUGCAUCUGGACUGAGAUGCUAAGACAAAAACAAAAGAUUCCCAAAGGACUUGAACUGUUAAUACAUGUUAUAGGACUCAAUUAUUUCGUCAAGUCAAUAAUUUCAGUUAUAUCCUAUUAAUAUUAUCUGCUUUCUGUUUGUUUUCUUCGAAACAUGGAAUCCAUCCUUUCUUUGACAUCAUUGCAUCUGGACUGACAUGCUAAGACAAAAACAAAAGAUUCCCAAAGGACUUGAACUGUUAAUACAUGUUAUAGGACUCAAUUAUUUCGUCAAGUCAAUAAUUUCAGUUUUUCUUCACUUUUUGUUAUUGUUGUUGUUGUUAUUUCAAAGUAGAAUUCUCUCCCGUUCUAUUACCGUCUAUUUUCCUCCCUCUUUCACACUCUCUUUUUUGUAUUUUUGUCUAUAUAAAAAAUUUAAAAUAAAAUGUUGACGUUAUUUAAUAGUAAUCGUUUAAAUAAGAGAAGAUGGGAGGGGAGAGAGAUUAAGAGGGAGAGACUCCUAUUCCGUUUCUUUUGGCCAAGAAAGAACAUUUACAAUUGACUAAUACAAACCUGUAGUUUAUAUGGAAUUAUGAACAAUGUUUCCGAAUAUAAGACAUAUAUUUUGUAUAUGUUCUGUGACUAAUUCGGACUUCAAGUUUGUAAUUUUAUUGUGAUUUUUUUUAGACAGAGGGUUAGUUUUCUAUUUGUAUAUUGAGGUUGUUUUUAUGUGUGGUUCAUUUACUCCGAUAAUUACAUGUAUUUAUUUUAUUUUUUAUAAUAUGCCAAUAUUUAUUUUUCAAAUAAAUUAAUAAUUAUGGGGUACAUUACUUUUUUGUUAGAAUUAUGUGAAGAAUAAUAUUACUUUAUUAUUGAUUUUAAAGUAAUUAUUAUAUUGUAAAAAUGUUAUUUGUAUUUGUGGGGUAUUGAAUACAUAAAUGUACGAGUUCAAUCUCUCAAAUGACGCUAGGGACCUCAAUCAAACUAUUUAGACAAAGAAGGUCUCAUUCUAACAAUUAGGUUGAAUAGGGACUGGAAUCAAAAUGAUCCUAAUUAAAUGGUGUAUGCAUAUGUGACUUUUUUUUGCAAUCAUUUGGACAUAAAGUUUCAAUUUUUGUGGCAUUUGUGAUAUGGGAGAUUGAUCAGGAAUAUCAUGUUUAGCUUCAUUUUGUUUAUCUGCUUUCUCUUUUCAAAUUGUGAGACUUGCAGUAUCUUAAUUUAAAUCUAAAGGUGCAAAAAUUUAUACAAAUGUUUAGCUAAAAAAAUUAAAAUGAAAUUAUGUCUUUUGACAAGUACAAAUAUUAAAAUUAAUCAUUGUACGGCGUGCUUGACAUAUUGUAACUAUAAGAAGCCUUUAUGCGUGAACAAAUGCAAAAAGAAAAAAUAAUUCUACAUGCCGCUCUUAACGUGAUGUAAAAAAAAGUCUUCCGUAUGCACAUGAGUGCGUGUAGAAAGGUUUGGAUGAAAUAAGCCAGAUAAUUCAGGUCACGUACGUUAGAAUUUCUUCAGAAAAAGACCAAUAACGCCAUAAGUGACAGGAAUAGAAUCAACGUCAACACGUCAUCUUGUUGACAUGGUAUCUUAUUAAUUUUUAAUUUUUCAAUGUUUUAUUUUCCUAGUAAUUAAAUAAUCAAAAUCGGCCAAUAGCCUAUCUUGGUGGUUAAGUACAGAACUAAAACAAAGAUAAUGAAAAUGAUUUCUCAUAUCAACGGACUCAUUUACUCUUAGUGCUAUAUGUUGGCUUCGGCAAACAUGGGUUGUAGGGCUCACUCUUUUGUUAGGGGUGUGCUAUCAACACACAAUUUUUAACUUUUUACACAUCCUUUUAAUAUUUAGCUGUCGGAUUGAAUAAAUUGAAGAAAAUCAAAUGACAGAAAUUAAUAGUCACUCAGUACUACGGUUUGGUGGUAUUCCUCUUCGCUUAAAAGUGAGAGAAGUCUUAUGUUCGAAUCUUGCGGAUGACGAAUUCGAUACCAAAUUAGGCUGCCCAUUGUGUGGCUUAGCCAAACUCCCCCUCCCCUUAUUGUAAAAAUAUCGAUGUACUAAAAAAAAAUUGACAGAAAUUAAUAAAAGGAUGUGAGAAGUAAAAAAAUGAUGUGUGGAUAGACCCUUUUGUUAACUCGCCAACUUGAACUGAUAGACACCAUUAAUUUCAGUUUUUCUUCACUUGUUUUGGUUGUUGCUGUUGUUUCUUUUGGCCAGGAUAGAACAUAUAUAAUUAACUAAUACAAACCCGUAGUUUAUAUCGAAUUAUGAACACUAUUGCCAAUUACAAGACUAGAUGCUAAACCUUCUUAGUCGGACCUUCUAUUCUACAUUUAUGGUUUUUCUUCUCAUCUUGUAAUGUUGUACAUAAUCGAAAUCGUUUAUUUUCUACUUCAUUUAAAAAAAAAAUCAACUCUGCUAAAAACCAACCGAAUUAGAAAAUCGUUUAUGUACUUGAUUAAAGUUGUCAAACUUUCAAUGUUUAGCUGAACAAUAUCGCUCGUCUAUUUAUUGUCUAACCAUUAACUAACUAAACAAUUUCAAAUUUCAUUACUUUUUGGCAUAACUUAUCUUUAAAAGGUGGCUUAAAAAAUAACUUCAUAAGAUACAUAUAGAAAGGGUAAAAUGAAAAGAUUGCCGGCAUUCAUCUUUAUGAUUAGCUAAAAAAUCAUGCAGUUACCUUAUACUAAUAUUAAUGUAAUUACUAUUGCUCUUAAUUUGUAAGUAAGAGAUCUUAAGCUCGAUUGUUGCCAAAAAGAUGAAUUUAAAUCACAUUAUUAUUAGUUUAUUGUAAAGCUAAUACUAUAAUUCCCUCCUAAUGUAUAUAAUAUCGUUUUUUAAACACAAUGACAAAUCCCAACAACCCAAACUUUGGACGAUCUAAUCCCUAUUUUUUGAACAAGGAUUACCACUUUAUGUGCAAGUUGCUCCAUUUCCUUUUUAAACCCCACAAUUUUGUCCAAGUCCCUCCCAUUAACCCAUCUCACUCUCUCAAAUCAUCUUCAACCCUUAGAUAAAACCUAAAAUUUUUAGCCCCUGCAACCUCCUUCUCUUGUCCAAGAUGGAGCCAAUCAACGACGAGAUUGCUCGUGAAUUUCGCUUCUUCCGGGUGUACAAAGACGGUCGCAUAGAAAUAUUCUACAAGACACAAAAGGUCCCCCCUUCGACUGACGCAAUCACUGGUGUGCAAUCCAAGGACGUCACAAUUCAACCCGAACCCGCCGUUUCUGCCCGUAUCUUCCUUCCCAAGAUCCACGACCCGGCCCAAAAGCUCCCCGUUCUCCUCUACCUCCACGGCGGUGGGUUUAUCUUCGAGUCUGCCUUCUCUCCUAUUUAUCACAACUUCGUCGGCCGAUUGGCAGCUGAAGCCCACGCAAUCGUAGUGUCCGUCGAAUACGGGUUGUUCCCGGAUCGCCCCGUACCCGCUUGCUAUGAAGACUCAUGGGCGGCGCUCAAAUGGCUCGCGUCCCACGCUAGUGGGGAUGGAACCGAGUCGUGGUUAAACAAGUAUGCUGACUUUGACCGGUUGUUUAUAGGCGGGGACAGCGGUGGAGCAAAUUUGUCGCACUAUUUGGCUGUCCGGGUCGGGUCCCUCGGGCAACCGGAUUUGAAGAUUGGUGGAGUUGUGCUGGUGCAUCCGUUCUUUGGGGGCUUGGAGGAGGACGACCAAAUGUUUCUGUACAUGUGUACGGAGAACGGUGGGUUGGAGGAUCGUAGGCUGAGGCCGCCCCCAGAGGAUUUCAAAAGGCUAGCUUGCGGGAAGAUGUUGAUAUUUUUCGCGGCGGGAGACCAUCUGAGAGGGGCGGGCCAGCUGUACUAUGAGGACCUGAAAAAGAGUGAGUGGGGCGGGAGUGUCGACGUGGUGGAGCAUGGUGAAGGACAUGUGUUUCACUUGUUCAAUUCGGACUGUGAGAAUGCUGCGGACUUGGUGAAAAAAUUUGGAUCCUUCAUCAACCAAAAGUAGUUACCUUACCUUGCUGCCAUGUGCCUUGACAUCUGUAAUAAACUUAUUUUAACAUUUCAUCGUAGUGUUUAUUAUAUCAUCGUUGUGUUGUCGUUAUGUAAUCUACUAAUAGAAAUAAUGGAGGAUGGUUGGGUUCAGUGCGACAAAUUUGCCAGACAAGGUUGGUGGAGGGGGUUUCGUGGGGGCAGGAGCAUGGAAGAUCCCAGCAUUCUCAUCCGCGGUCCAUGUCGAUCUGCAAGCGGUGCUCCAUGCGAUGAGAUUGGCCUCACAUACGAUGAGAUUUCAAAGGAACUGAAUUAAAAUUUUACAUAGAAUAUUUACAAAUUAAUUAGACUCCAUAAAAAUACAUGGAUUUAUAAAUCCAUUGAAAUCUCUCAAAUUCCUAAUUGAAUACACCACUCUUUAGAGUCUUUCUGGACGAAAAAAUUUGUUGGCCAUUUCUAUAUUGAGUGGUUCUUUCCUGAUAAAACAUAUUUUGUCCCCAUUCUUAAGCCCUGACAAUUCGUCAAAAAAUGAUUUUUAAGCCUCCGAAAUGUACCUUUUAGCCAACAAGAUGUGUUUGUCGACGGAUCUUAGAGAUCCUCACAUCUUAGCCGUUCAUUGUAUAUCGUACGGUCAAUUUUCGUCAGGUACUAUUUGUGUUUAAUUAAAAAAAAUACAAUUCAAAUGAUUUCUGACCGCACAAUAUAUGAACGGCUAAAAUAUGAGGAUCCUUGGAAUCCCACCGUUUAGGUCUGGAUGGGAUCUUCAUCCUUUGUCGACACGCAUUUUGUUUGCACAAUUUUUCUCUACCGAUAAAAUUAGCUUUGUCGGGAGAGUUUUUUAAUUUAUCAAAAAAAUGAAAGCUUGAAAACACAAUUAUUGUUGUAGGUGCGGCAAUAGCAGAGAGAAGAGAUAGAUGUAUAAUUGUGGGUGUGUUCUUUUCCACCCCAUUGUGCAUUUAUUUAUAGUAGUAGAGAAGGUUAAUUCCUCACCCUUUUAGGAUUACAACUCUUAAUAUGUAAUAAACUUUUAAUAGGAAUACAAGAGAUAUUCCAAGAUAUACUAGGAUUUAUAUAAUCACAUUCUGUUAACCCUAAAAACUACCAAGACUAUGUGGCGCGUAGGCCGAGUAAUCUAUAAGCUAACUACGUCCUUCGGUGAAUGCGAGGCGUGCCAACUCGUCAGCCGAGCUCGACCGAGGAGUAAAUUUGUUGAUGUUGCGUUGGGUGCGCGGCUGCUUUCUGCGUCUUGCGAUUACGACCGAGGAAGGAACACGUCUCGGCCUCUUGGGUUCUUGAAUCUGAAGACAAGGCUACUAUUCUUUACGAAGUUCACGAAUCGCCGUCGUCGGAUUCGGUCACAGUGAUGUUAUUCGUCAGAGUAAACUCACGCCGAAUCGACACUAAAGUGUAAGGGCACAAAUAUUCAAAGCGAAUAUAAGUCUUAAUAGUGAACGUGGUUCGGCCGUCUGAAUGCCGAACUCUAAAUCCCACUUGAGAGUAUCCAAUCAUAAAAUAACUCGGCGUGCAAUGCGCCGAGCUCAGUAAACUGUAACACCUCACUUCGCCGAGAAGGCUAAUGAGAUGACCUCAAUCAAUAAGGAUUCGAAAAUCCUUCUCGACCGAGACUUGGAUAGGUAACCAACCGUCAUCGCCGCAGUGCUGUUGAUGCCAACGGAAGAUGAUACGAGAUCGUCUGAUUCUAAGGUGACAGAGCUAUCUAUGCCGACUUAAGAUAUCACUGGUUGCUUUCACAGUGCUGUUGAUGCCAACGGAAAAUGUGUCAGCGAAAAGAGAAAAUAAAAAUCUCAAAGUUGUUGAGAGAAUUUGCGCAGGGCAGUUGUGUGUUGAAUUGGAGGGGGGUUGAAUGAUGGACAACCUCCUCUAUUUAUAGCACUGGAUACCUCCACGGUCGAGUUAAAACCCUACCCGGAUUAGGACUUCUUCUCCUGAUCAAAUACCAACUCGACCAGUCCUAUUUUUACCAUAACUGUGAACCUAGUCCUUUAUUAAGCCGGAUUCACUUCUGGGUCAUUAAUCUUGCCGAGACUUCUCAUUGCACUAGGAUUCGACUCGUCUUGCAGCAUGGCUUAACCGACCCAGGUUCGGAAGCCCAUGACCUAACCGAUCUAGAACUAAACGUUGGGCCGAGAAUAAUUCUAUACUCGGUCCAAACUGAUAUUUUGGGCCCAAACAUUGCCCCCUUGCUUCUGAGGUCCUCGGCCUGAAUCCUCUGGUCGAGCUCCGGCCUUGAAGAAGCGAAAUUAAAACUCAAAAUCCAAAUACACUUAUUCCUGAGGCGCAUUUAUUGAGCACGAUUGCACGAUCUUGAUCCUGCUAACCAAUACACCACGUGGCAUCCUUUUAUACGGCUAAUCCCCAAUAAUGACGUUUAAAGCGUGCGGCUCCCUGAACCGUCAUAUCAUCAUGACCUCGUUGCUGAACACAACCAUACCGUCUCGAUCUACGAACCAUUCAGCAUUGUGCAGACGCCAAAACAUCUUUCACCAUAAAUCUCGCCACCCCACGCAAUCGUGCGUCCUCGAAACACGAAACCCUCGGUCUUCUCAACUGGAUUUUCUAAAUGUUCAUAAUGAUUAGUGAAUUUCUCGGUUGAUUUUACCCUUCAUUUUGAAUUUCGAACGAUUGCCCUUCCUUCCACCGUUUAUAAAUAGUGAAAUUCUCUCAUUUGUACUUUACGCUUUCAAAUUUUCUGAAAUUCUUGCCAUUGCUCUCUGGUACACUCAUUCCUUCUGGAUCUUCGUCUUCAAAUCUCCCAACCCAGAAAAGCUCAUUUCGUCUCGCAUUCUUUUAAUCCCCUUACAAUGGCUUUCCAAGCUUUCCAAGGAAUGCAAUCAAUGUCAGAACAUUAUUGAUCGAAGUUCGAUCAAAACCAUACGGUUCGAAAGUGACAUGAGCAGCCCUCAUCAAAUCUUGGGUCCGCUCUUUAAAGCGGCAGUACCAUCGACCAUCACUGGGCUUCUCCAGAAGCAAUGCCUGUCACCCUUGCUACAAGGGUUUGAAUGGCCGAAGUGGGAUGUGGCGAGGCCUCAAGGCUCUUGGCCCUCGACCAUUACAACCUGGGCAGCCUGGGUUGUACGAAUGGAAAAGCUCUUUGGCGAGCAAUGGAAAAUCCUCGGCAUUUACGACGCCAUUCGCCUCUCGUCCAUGGAGGUCAUCCUGGACAAAGAGCUUCUCCUGACGGCCUUAUGCUUCUAGUGUUCGACCACACCAACACUAUGGUCCUCCCUCUCGGCCCCAUUGGCCCCACCAUCCUUGAUCUCACUGCCAUUUUGGGGACUUCCCCGACUGGAAUCCUAACCUUUGAGACGCUAAGCGGUGAAGGCCAAAUACCCUCGAAUGAAGAGGUUCACAAGCUUCACAAGAACUUCUUCAACUAUAACACCCUUUAUCUCCAUUUUGCUGGCCGAGGAGAAAAAACUCUGUGAGAAGGAGAACACGAGGCUUUCCUCUUCUAUUGGUACAACAAAUUUAUCUGUUGUACCAAAUCUAAUAUGUGUCUGGUCGAGAAUAUGCCAGUGGCCGAAGCCCUAGCUAGCGGUCACACUCUAGCACUCAGCUCGGCCAUUCUCGCCCAUCUCCUACGCUGCUUGGCCGAAACGACCCUAGAUAAAGUCGAUCCGCAGCAGAAAUGGUCCCCUCUGAGUCUUCCAACUCUGGCUGCAGGUCUACUUUGCUCCUCUUCGGCCAACGAUUGCCGAUUUCUCGCCUAAGGAAGCGCUCGACCUUCAGCUGGCUUUUCGGCCAAUCCCCCCUCACUAAGCCGAAGAAGUGUUCAGAUACUUUUUCGCUCUUGACGACCUUUCUGAUGACGAGUUCUUGAUCUGCCGUCAUCGAGAGUACCCUUCGUCGAUCAGACUUCUUACAUCAGCAUGGGGCAUGGACGAAGAUGCCGACCUUUAUCAAUCCUGGGGGUCUUUCGUGCUUGCCCGCGAUCUGCCUCUCGGCUGUGAUGGUUACCGAGCGGGUUGGGAAGUGUAUCAUCCCAACUUCCUCGCUCGGCAGCUUGGCUACCUCCAAGGUUGCCCAGUCUCUCUUCUCUUCUCACGGUCCGUCCUAAGUCGCGGACGCGAACCUGGCUCUUCCGAGAAGGAAUGCAAUGACGCCAAAAGAGAGUUCCAGGAGUGGUGCAAAAAAUUCCGUCUUCAACCAGUCACUCCAGAACCUCUUUGCACUGACACCUUUGGUGAUUGGUGGGAAGAGUAUACCCAACAGUUUUUUGGUGUUUCAGUCGAAACCGUUCUGAACAAAGUCUUUGAUGAUCGACCUAAGAAGGCUCCUGCCCCUAACCCCAAGGUAACAAUUUAUUUCUACCCUCUUCCUUCAAUUUUGAACUACUGAUCGGCUUUGCUGAUUUGCUUUUACUUUUACAGGCAGUCGGUCAUUGAAAAAGGUGGAAGUGGUUACUGCGGCUACGGCCGAGAAAAAGUCGGUCGUUUCCAAGAGGGCCAAGAUUGCUGUGCAGGCCGUGCUGAGCAAACGGCCUUGCCAAGAGGUCGAGCUGGCCAUUGAAGCCCCUCGGCCCGCCAAACGGGUCAAAAAGCUGGCGAAGAAAAGGGAACAGGAGAUUCACGUUAUCUCCAGUCAAACUACGGGGGUGACGACUCCAGUGUUUCCCCUUCUCCCCCCAUCACCCAAGCUUUAGUUGAGAAACGGUCAAUUCCGGCCGAAGAAACAGUCCAAGUAAGGCCUGUUUCUAAAGUCGGUGACCCAGUUGUUGUUCCGUCAGUCGGGUGCAAAGGCCUGUUUCUAAAGUCGGUGACCCAGUUGUUGUUCCGCCGGUCGAGGCUGCACCCGUCCCGGAAGAAGCAGUCCUUGUGACCGAGGGCACUUAUCUUGAAAAUCCAAAACCUUCAGCCUUCGUUUUGGAAGAGAGCGACGGGAGUGACGAGGUUCGACUAGCGAGUCAUUGUCGACCCCGCCGUCAACCUCCUCCUGUGUCCGAGGCGGCUGUCCAAAUCGGCCCUUCUACGGUCGACCGUGGUAAACGUCCUGCCGGAGAGCUAGAAGCGGCGGUGGAGAUGCCCGUUCAUCCGCAGGAUCAGGGCCUCAAUAUUUCUCUGCAGAAAGCCACUUCGGCCUUCGUAAGUACCCCCUACCGCCUUUCCUUGGUUAUUUCCCUGCCAUAUAACUCUAAACCAGGAAAAUACUAAAUGUCAGGUGCUUCCUCCUGUGUCCGAGACGGCUGUCCAAGUCGGCCCCUCUACGGCCGACCAUGGCAAACGACCUAUAGGAGAGCCAGAAGCGACGGCGGAAACGCUCGUUCAUCCGCAGGACCAGGACCUUAAUAUUCCUCCGCAGGAAGCCACUUCGGCCUUUGUAAAUACCCCCUACAGCCUUUCCUUGGUUAUUUCUCUGCCAUAGAACUCUAAACCAGGAAAAUACUAAAUGUCAGGUGCCUGUACACUAUUUUCAUCGAAAAUUUUAUGCGCCGAAGGGUGUUAUCUAUAUUUCUUGGCCGCCUCUGUGGCCCUCGAACGUAGAUAACCUCCAUCGGCCGCAUGAAUUGAGAAGCAAUCUAAGAUAUUGGGCUCGGCCAUUAAGUUCUUUAGGUUCGAGCAACGAUCCUAAAGACAUAGUCGAAGUCUUCUCCCAGCAGGUUUAAAAAUAAAACCUUCUUGCUACCUUUUUCGUGAUUUCCUUGAGCUUAAACCAAGUUUUGUGUGCAGGCUUCAUGGGAAGUCGAGUUCAAAGCUCUCCUGUCAAGUACCACCGGAGCGACUGGCCCUUCAGCCCCUACAACUGACUUCGCCGAUUCAACUGCUCUGGUUCGGGUGCAAGAAGUUUUGUCUCUCUCUGCGUCGCAAGUCCUUGAACGCAAAGGCCUUGAUUUAUUGGGUGCCUGCCUAAACGACCUCGGCGCAGAUGGUUAAAUGAGCGCUAGAGCCAUCGUUCAGGCGUCGUCUGCCUUAGAGCGAGUUCGGGCGACUUUUAGUGUUCUUGAGAAUGCUCUUCGGGCUGAACAAUAUCUGAAAGCUGCCAUGGCCGUCCAAGACGCUCUUCGUUUGAAAAUUGAUGCUUUAAAGACGAAAGGGGAAGCUUUGGCCGACCUCGACCGUCAAAUAGCCGAAUUGGUAAAACGAAGGUCGGCUAUUACUUCCGAGAUUGUAAAAGACUUCGAGUCGGGUGGCAGAGAUUGUUUGACUGAGUAUGCGGCGAGCGUAAAACGAAUCGAGCAGUUGAAAAUGGACAAGAAGAAUUGGCAGUUUAAGGUCAUAAUAGGCGAGGUGCGGUGGCUGGAGCUUAAGGCUCUUCUCGGCACUCUUCUUCCUUCUUCACCCUAAAUUUAUUUAAAUGUAAACUGAUCGAUCAACUCAAUUUGUGUAUUCUUCUAACAACCUUAAUGAAAUGAAUUUCUAUUCCUGCAUUUCCCAUGUGACCGGAUAGUACUUCUUUAAAAACUUCCCAUUGAUUGGCAAUUUGUGAACUAAACUAGUCCAGUCUCUAAGAUGAUAUGCGCCUUUGCCGAGAACCUUAUGUAUGACGAAAGGCCCUUCCCAAGUUGGCAACCAUUUGCCCAACCUAGGGUCUUUAAUUACUACGGGCAACACUGUUUACCAAACUAAUUCUCCUUCGCCAAAUGUUUUCUGUCAGACCUUUUGAUUGUAUGCUCGCUCGGCAAUCUGUUUUUGUGCCACUAGUAAGUUAUAAGCAUCGAGUCGCGCUUCUUCUAAGUCUUCUAACUCCUGUCUCAUGGACUGAUUAUAGUCGGCGCUAAACAAACUACUUUGUUCAAUUAUUCGUAACGAAUUUAUGCUUAGCUCGACUGGUAACAUUGCGUCGUGUCCGUAAGUUAGUGCAUACGGGGUUGUCCCAAUCGCCGAUCGGAGCGAUGUUCAAUAUGCCCAUAAAGCCCUAUUUAACUUUAAAUGCCACAUGUCAGGCCUCUCUUUUAUUAUUUUCUCGAGAAUGCCGAUCAACACUUUGUUACUUGCCUCGGCCUGCCUAUUUGCUUGUGGAUAAUAUGGUGUAGACUGUUCAAGCCGAAUUAUCAAACUUGCCGUAUAUUCUCUAAACCUUUCGGCUGUAAAGAUUGUACCAUUAUCAGUUAUAAUCGUUUCUGGUACGCCGAAUCUGGUCACAAUGUGUUCUUCCACAAAUUCGUGAACUUCUUUAGACGUUAGCUCGACAUACGAUUUUGCUUCGACCCACUUAGUGAAGUAAUCGGUUGCUACCAAUAUCCAUGCGUGCUUGGCAGCCCCGGAAGAUGGUGUGAUUUUGCCGAUUACGUCCAUGGCCCAUCCUCUAAACGACCAUGGUUUAGUGACUGAAUGUAAUGACUCGGCCGGGACCCAUUGUAUACGACCAUGAAUCUGACACUGUAUGCACCCUCGUGUGAACUCGAUACAAUCCUUUAAUAUUCUUGGCAAAAAAUAACAGUGUCGUCGAAGCAACCACUGUAUUUUACGUUCGGACUGAUGAGCUCCGCAAACCACUUCAUGGAUUUCUGUGAUUGCUUGAGCACUCUCUUAGGGGCCGAGGCAUAACAGUAACAGACCAUCCUCACCCUUUCGGUAUAACUCGUUUUGGUACGUGACAUAGUUUGUGGCGUGAACUCUUGUCUUACGACUGUGUUUGCCAUUGGGAUUGUCAAGAUACUACAUAAUGGGUUUUCUCUAAUCAUCUGGUAUUGCCUCGACAGCGCAAACAUCUAUAAGGUCUUGUCGGUCUAAUAACGAAGGUAAGAACAUGACUCUGGUGCGUAUCACGUUGUCUCGUCAGAGGACUUGCUGGUUAACCAAGGUCGGGUAUAGCUGUCGUAACAUCGGUAUUUCUCAGCCUAGCUUGCCCCCUAGGAGUUGUGCACUGAAGGUGAUUUGAGCCAAUUCGUUUGCGUCGGUACUAUGGAUCCGGAAAAUAUGCUCAAAUGUAAUACUGUCAAAGGAUUCGGCCAAAUAGCUGGCAACCAUGUGGUAGGGUGCCAGGGUACAACUCAUGCAUCGAAAAGACCCAUUAAGUUGGUUAAUCACAAGUUCAGAGUCGCCGAGGAUGAGGGCACGGGUUGUCCGCAAGUCAUGAAGAAUGCCCAUGCCGAUGAUAAGGGCUUCGUAUUCGGUCUGAUUAUUUAUGCAUUCAAAAUCCAGCUUGAGCAAAAAAUACUAACGAUCGUGGUUUGGGGAUUGAAUGACAAUUCCAACGCCGACCGAGGAUGAAGUACUUGAGCCGUCAAAGUACAUCAUCCAGAAGUUAUCGCGCGUUUCCACCAUGCCGAUUUCGACGUCGAUGUCUCCAAAACCGUAAGGGGAAGGGUGUUGAGCGAGGAAGUCAGCCAAUGCCUGGCCUUUGACAGCUUUCUGGGGCUCAUAUUGCAAGCUAAACUCGGACAACGCCAUUGUCCACUUCCCAAUUCGGCCUUUUACGAUUGGUCGGGUGAGCAUGUAGCGGAUGAUGUCGGUCUGGGCAAUGACUUGUGUGACCGAUGGGAGCAUGUAAUGCCGAAGCUUGGAGGCGGCGAAAAAUACGGCGAGACAGAGCUUCUCAACGGCGGAAUAAUUGAUCUCCGGUUGAUUGAGAUUUUGACUGAGGUAAAAAAUAGCCUGCUCUCGUCCGACCUCGUUGUCUUGGGCGAGGAGGCAGCCGAUGGACUCUUUGAUCACCGAGAUAUAUAGCUUGAGAGGCUACCGCGCCGGGGUGGAACAAGGACAGAUGGUGUCGUGAGGGAAACUUUGAUUUAUGUAAAUGCCACCUGAUGCUCGUCUUUCCACUCAAAUUUAUCUGAGUCCUUAAGUUUCAAAAGCGUAGAGAACGCUUUCAUUUUACCCGCCGAGUUAGCUAUAAAUCGGCAAAGAAAAUUUAUCUUACCGAGUUAGGACUGUAGUUGUUUCUUCGUCGUCGGGGGUGGAGCAUUGAUGAUUGCGCGUGCUUUAUUUUCAUCCACUUCAAUCCCACGGUAAUGCACGAGGAAGCCGAGAAAAUUACCAGCCGAUACACUGAAGGCACAUUUGGCAGGAUUCAUUUUAAGGUUGUGUUGACGCAUACGGAGGAAAGCUUGUCGAAGAUCAUCCAGAUGUGUCUACCGGCGUUUAGAUUUGAUUACAACAUCGUCAAUGUAGACUUCGACGAUGGUUCCAAUUAAAUCAUGAAAUAUGGUGUUCAUUGCCCGUUGGUAUGUGGCGCCAGCGUUCUUGAGGCCAAAUGGCAUGACAACCCAUUCGUAAGUGCCGAGUGCCCCCGGGCAGCGAAAAGUAGUCUUGUGCACAUCGGCUUUGGCAAUGAAAAUUUGGUUGUACUCGGCAUGUCCAUCCAUAAAAGAUAAGAUCGCAUGAUUCACCGCGGCAUCGAUUAACAAAUCCGAAAUCGGCAUUGUAUACUCAUCUUUGGGAGUUGCCAGAUUCAGAUUUCUGAAGUCAAUGCAAAUGCGCAAAGCACCACUUUUCUUUAAAACAGUAACGUUAUUAGCCAACCAUUCAACGUAUCGAGCUGUCCGAAUGAACCCUGUUUUCAAAAGCCGAACCAGUUCAUCCUUGAUAUCGAGUUGCAAUUCGGUCGAGAAGCGUCGAGGUGGUUGACGGAAAGGUUUACACCCAGGUUUAAUACGUAACUCAUGCUCGAUGAGAGUGCAAUCUAAGCCAGGCAUUUCAUGGUAGCUCCAAGCAAAACAAUCUUUGAAUUCCUCAAGUAGGGCACGAAGUUCGGCUUUCAUAGGUUGGGGAAGUAAAACACUAAUAAAUAAAGGCCGUGGGUCAUCGGCCGCCCCAACAUUAAUUUCUUCCAAGGGGUCAUUGACUUGUGGCCGAUUGUCUUCGAGCUCGACCGGGGCAGCUUGAAUUUUGUCAAGAGAUAAGAGAGGACCAUUAUCUCAUUCGAUGAGGUACUCGACGAUGUUAACGCCCGAAUUUGGUUGCUUAGAUAUAGUAUACCAAUGAGUCAGCAGUCGUUCCAUAGUAGAUGAAACUGCGGCCCGACGUUUUUCCCGAUCGGUGUCAAACAUCGGGGUCGGGGAUGAAGUUAGCUAAACCGAGUCUCGCUGAAUCUUAGUGGACAGUUUCGACGCCAACCUCGAUAGCUUUUUGAACAGAAAUCUAAGUCGGCCGUCCUUCAUCAUUGAAACCCUGUAGGGUGAUGUAGCCGACGUGGUCAUCAUAAUAUCGUGCUUGGAUCAUGUUAGCUUCGAAGGGCUGACUAUCGGCCAGGUGAACAACGACCGAUUUACCGUCCAAAAAAAUAAGCACUUGAUACAAUGAUGAAGGAAUAUAGCUGGUUUGAUGAAUCCAGUCUCGACCGAUCAGUGCAUUAUACUUAGUCUUGGAGUCGACGAUAAAAAAUGCGGUCAUGCGAUUACGAUCGGCAAUAUUUACCGCUAAAGGAAACACCUCUUUGGUUUAGGAUUUGUCUUCGACGAAACUGCUCAUUGUGAUCCCGGAGGGAAUAAGUUCGUCAUUGGAGGGAUGUAACGCCUUCAUGACGUUUACAUGCAUGAUUUGACAGUGGCUCCACAGUCGACAAAAACUUUGGAGACUGGAUACCCUUCGAUAUGGGUCGUUACAUACAAUGGCUUCAAAUGAUGAAGUUUGGCCGAUGAUGAGCGAGGAAAUAAUUCGGCUAAAGCUGCUUUGAGGUUGUCAUCUUUUGUCGUCGACACGUCGUCAGUAAUAGUUACAAAAUCAAUGUGACCGACUUCUUCUGCAAUUACGUCACCAUCGAGGAAAUUCGGUUGAGAUGUGCUCGACUGAAAAUCAGCGGGCAAAACAUGGACCAUACUGAUUUCCAUGUUAUCCAGGACCGACGGGCCCAUUGGGUUACGAUCAUCCUCUUCAGCCUUUUCCCUUUUCUAGUCACCGACUGCGGCAUCUGCUUCCGUCAGAGUUGUACUAAGAGACUCAUCUGCUCAUUCUUUAAUGGUUUGUUCCCACAAUGUCUCUUCGGAAGCCUGUUUAUUUUGUGUAGGUGCAUCAGGUGUGUCUGAAAUCGGAAUUAUGUCUGGGAUUGAUGCCAGGAUACGAGCUUGCUCUUGGUACAUUAUACGGGCAUCCCUGGUGUCGAGAUAGGCAUCCAACCGUGCAACUCGUGUUAUUUUAUCGGCCGUGAGGCCGAAGAGAGAAACGGCCGAAAAGACUUCGAAGUGGUAUCGUAAAUAUUGAAGGUCCUCCAUGGAGAAAGGAAGGUUGGCUGCAUCGAUAUCAGUAUAUGGGUCGACUCCAAAGACAAGAACUAAAGCUUCUCGUAUGUGUUGUGAUAGGAGCAUAUUUAUGCAACUUAGUUAGCUUGUUUCUUGGCAUUUACUUAGUUUAAUUUUAGUUAUUUUAGUACUUUAAGCUAUUUUCGUGUGUUUGUAGGUUCAAAUAACAAAGUUAGCAACAAAGUGCUAUUUGGAGCAUUUUGGAGCAUUUUUGGGUCAAGAUUGGAUAGUGCAAGCAUGGAGACAUGAUGAUGAACGUUUUUGAAGAUUUGAAGGCUAAAAAUCAGCAUGUGUAUGUGCAAGUGUGUUGACCUACAACUCCAAACAUCCAUCCACUACACCCAUUACAUCAACUCAUUACCAAACAUCCAUCCACUACACCCAUUACAUCCACUCAUUACCAAACACUCAUCCACUACACCCAUUACAUCCACUCAUUACCAAACACUCACCCACUACACCCAUUACAUCCACUCAUUACCAAACACUCAUCCACUACACCCAUUACAUCCACUCAUUACCAAACAUCCACCCACUACAACCAUUAGAUCCACUCAUUACCAAACACUCAUCCACUACACCCAUUACAUCCACUCAUUACCAAACAUUCAUCCACUACACCCAUUACAUCCACUCAUUACCAAACAUCCAUCCACCACACCCAUUACAUCCACUCAUUACCACAACACUCAUCAUUACCACCUUAAUUAGAUGGUGGUCAUUUCCCUAGCCUAUAAAUACAUCCACCCUUCACCAUAACAAGGGAGAAGAAAACCAGAGAGAACACAAUCCACCCAUCCACCCUUCACCAUAACUCGUCUAUAUCCAUCCACCACCAUAAUUUACCACUCAUCCAUCAAACCACACCUUGUGCCGCAACAAAGAGAAGAAGGAGGACCCUUGGACGUAUUUUCCAUUCAAGUUGGAUUGUUGGAGCGUUUUUAGGUGUUUUCAUUCUUUUGUUUUCAAUGUCUAAAUUUGUUUAUCUUUGCUUUGUGAGUAUGAGGAACUAAACCCCUCUUAGCUAGAGGGGAAUUCGAAACCAUGUUCAUGCAUGCAAUAUGAUUUGAUUACUUUCAGUUGUGAUUCAUAAGUUGUGAUUUCAAUUUACUUAUCCAUUUGAAUUAAAACUGAUUUGUGUAUGUUGGUUGAGAGUGCACGCUUAAUUUUCAUGCAUAAAUCUGAUGCUAGGAUAUAAGGAAGUUUCACCUAAUCGUUAUGAACUUAUAUUCACAAGUAGUGAAGGUUGCUUGUCACAACCGUGUUAAGUAAAUUCUUGGCAUAAGUUUCAUGCAAUUCAUAGUUACAAGUGUUUCGUCAAUGC